rnacentral:lncRNA from 1 species
AACUUCCCCCUAGUUUGGAUGUGAUGUUUUUGAGUUUAAGUUUUGCAUGAUGGUUUUAUGUAGUGAUGUUUGCGAGAUCGAUCAGUCUACAUAUCUAUAAUAUGCUAUCUUGAUUCACUCCAGUAAAAUAGCUCUGCGAAAUACUUCUGUUUCUGCUCGUGUUUUGAACUGUCUAGGUGGUACUCCAUGGUGUGAGUAGACGUUUGUAUGGUGGCGGCGCCAGCCGCCAGGUUUUUGCCCCAUUGAUUCGUCUUGAUUGCAGGCGGUAGGUGGUUGGUUUCCUGGCGGAUGCCUUAGCUCUACUUCUCUCUCCUGCCCCUUGUUUCUUUGGUUUCCAUGUGGAUAAAUUUAGCCUUUUCAUCAUAAAAUAAUGAAAAGGGGAGUAUCCUGGUUUUUACGAAUCUGAUGGUAUGAUGCCUAUGAUACAAUGGUGGUUGAAUUUAUGAGCCUGAUUGGUAUGCAGCCAAUUUUGGCCAAAACUAGAACUUGUAAAAUAUGGGGCAACUUUUGCCAACCAAUUUUUAUGCCAAAAUUUGGAAAACAACAAUGGUUUAGGGCAACUACAUCAAAAUGGACCUCAGCCAUCAUAAACUUUUGCCAACCAAUUUUUAUGCCAAUAUUAGGCAUCAAAUGUCCGUUUUCAAUAUAUUUUGUGCUCUUUAAAGCAAUUGAAAGAUAAGUAUUCCAAUGCAAUAAUAAUUCAAAUGAAAAUCUUACAAUCCAAACAUAAAUUUAGAAACAAAAUAGUUCAAGUUAGAAUUCAACUUAGAUACAAUGCUCUAGUAGUCUAGAUGAAACACCCAAAGAUGCUCAACCAGAUCUUUCUGGAGCCGCUCACGCAUUCAUCUACUGGACGGGUCUGUUCUAGAAGCUUGAUAGGAUCACCCAUGUUUGAAAAUUCAGAUCAACGAACUCCAUCAUUCUCAUCCUCGACAAUCAUGUUAUGGUGGAGGUAGGGGUGGCCAGCAGGGGCCAAGCCCACCCCAUCAUCGCAAUUUUAUUUGUAUUAUGCAUAUGACCAAUGCUGUUUUUAAAAUUUUGCUUUACGCCGGCCCUUCCUAGCAUCAAAUUUUAGGCAAUCCUGCCUCCGCCACUGCAGAUCACACAAGCUGUCCUCACCCCCCACAAUGUCUCUGGAUCUCAUAGUUUAGCAGCUUCGCGAACAACUGCAUAACAUGCUUGGAUCACUCCAAAUGCCCUCUCAACAUCCUUUCUAGAAGAUUUUUAUCUUUGUGCAAAGUGACAUUGUUUGUUACCCCUUGGCUCGGAGAUGGUCUUGACGGAAAUCGCACAUGGAGGAUAGAUACCAUCACAAAGAUAAUACCCCGUGUUGCAGUCAUUAGCACCGAUGCUACAAUUGCACUCAGGAUCUUCGUUGGCGCAGAACCUUACAAACAUAGGAGAUGGCUACAACACAUUGGUGUCACUGUGAGACGCAGUCAUGCCAAAGAAAGAAUGCCAAAUCCAGAGAUCAUCUGAUGCAACUGCUUCAAAAAUGAUGAUGAUCUUUUUACAAUGGCCUUCGUAUUGCCCUUGUUGGGCAUAUGGACAGGUCUUUCAUUUUUGGUGCAUGCAAUCCAUGGAUCCGAGCAUACAUGAAAACCCUCUUGCUUCUCCAAUUGCCAUGACCCUUGUUGUGUCUGCAGGAAUUGGUUCUCACAAGUACUCCGGUCCAAACACCUUCACAACCACAAUAGUAAAUUUGACCAUCGCUUCGAGGUAUGUGCUUUCAGACAUCCGGAGGUACUCGUCCCACUACGAUCGUGCCAUAGACAUGCAUCCGCAUUACAUCUGCGCACUUCUGAUAACUAGAGAACACAAUGGUUCCAAUGUCACGCUUCCUCAGUAUGAAGUACUCAUCAUAGGCCCGGACACCAUGGUAAAUGCGAUCGAACACUUGUUGCCGCAUCCGAAAUAACAACACAAAUAAUAUCGCAUAGGGGCAAAUUAUUCGACGACCAACAUGGGAUGCCACCUACCCUAUUCCGAUUCAAUACUCGAUGUCCCUUUAUUGAUCCCUUGUAGUCGAGAACAUGCUACACACGCACGCACCAUGUCUACCGCCUUCAUCAUCGUACUUUCAUCCUCAUCCGACUCCAUGAACUCUUUGUAGAAGUACUCCUCAUCUGAAUCCACCGUGUUUGCUUCAAAGUAAACAACUAGAACAUAAGAUUUCUUGGCAAUGGCAUUUGGCCGAGCACUUGCCAGGCGUAGUGUUUGCUAUGGACGAUGUCGGCAGGGAGCGGAGGUUACCUAUGCUGCGAUGGAAUCCAGGGUAGAACGGCGGUGCAAUCCAAGGCAGGAAAGCGCUUGCAUUGUGCGACGAAGGUCCGAUAAGGCCCGCGUGGCGGUCGGGGUUGUGUAGCGGCGGCGGUGGUCGCCGAGGGUGCAAAUACACAUCACAUGAAGAAGGAAGGAGUUGGAGAAACCUCUCCCUCAUUUGGUGCCAAUUUGUAGGAUUUUGAACAUUCGGAUAGGUCCAGACAAUUUUGAUGUGUGGGAUGGCAAAAAAUAUCCAGACUGUCUGGUCCAGACAUUUACGGGGGAUUUGGCGAUUCACGUUGGAGUUGCCCUUAGCUACCAAAUAUGCACAACUUCCAAACAAAGAGUUCAUCACAUACAUAACUUACAAGCUAUGUCAUACAAUGGCCGAAUUUUGGCCUAGCAGAAAUUCAACAGCAAAGUGUACUUGCAGUGUCAUUAGCAAAAAAAAAAGUGUACUUGCAGCGUGUGAUGAGAACCCGGCACAUAAAAUUUCUAGUUUGCAUCUAUGAUUUACAGUCUGCCAACUAGUCUAAAGUUUUGCUGAUUCAGAGUCCAAUGUUCUUCUACAAGCAUAAUAGUAGAGCAAGGAAGGUGGUCGGCAGCAUCAGUUGCUGCCAAUGCAGCAUGGCCGGCGGCUGCCACGACGCGGCAUCUGAGGUCUUGUUGAAGAUGCCUUUCGGCGUGCUCCCGCGCCGGCGCGGCGAGCAUGUACCAUUACUCUGCGCAACACACGCACAAAUAUUGUGUCAGUUCCUCUAUAAUACUGUAGAACACUUUGUCGAAACAUGCAGUAAACAUGGCAGGCAAGCAGCGAGGCAUGUAUGCUCAUUUACAUACGUUGCAGGCAGCUAUGCUUCCGCAUCCACAAACCAGCCCGCCGUUGGCCUUGUCCGUGGCUUCCGCGGCGCCGCCUCCGUCGCUUCUCUGGGUAACCAUCGGCAGAAAUUAAUCGACAUCAUCAGCACUCAGCGAGUCCUCAUCGUGCUCAUAUUCAUCAUAGAGUAACUACUCCGGCAGAUAAGGAUGUGAUGCUACCUUGUAGAAGUCGACGGCGAUGAAGUUGGGCCAUCUGUCCCCGGACGCGGCGUGGCAGGUGUCGAGCAUGCCCAGCAGCUGCGCCGAGUUGUCCUUGCACGCCUCCGGGAAGUUUGGGAGGUCCCGGAAGUAGUUCACCAGCACCAGCGACCUCGACAGGUCGUUCAUGGCGGCCGACUCGGCGCGGUUCGGGCACGACCCCUUCACCAUCCCUUUGCUCCCAUCUGCAGCACAUGGAAAGGAUAGAUACAACAUCGUCAGGUUCUCCUAUCUAUCGAUCGAUGAUGAUAGACGUGCACUUACACUGAUUCUCGACGACGUAGCCCCACUCGUGUGCGAAGCCCUCGGCGGCCUCCUUGGCGGACCUGGAGGUGAAGACGAGGAGGCGGUGGUUGUCGCGGACCAUGUCGCUUAGCAGCGGCCAGUCGCCGCCGUUCUUGGGCAUGCGCCACACCGGGAACAGGAAGGGCGUCAGGCCGGAGGCGUUGAACACCCGGGUGAGCCCCAUGGGCGCCUCCACGUAGUCCUCGAUGAAGAUCGUGAUCACCUCGGAGGGGUUCCUCCUCAGGAACGCCUCGAUCUCCCGGAGCACGUUCACGGCCGGCGUCUGUCGUCGACGAACAUAUAACCGCUAGUUAGUCGUCGAUGAGAGUGAUUGGUUCUAGUAAAGUAUCGUUUGGUUGGUGCUUACGAAUGCGGUGAAGUUUCGGCAGGCGCCGCCGUAGGAGUGACAGAGCCAUAUGUCGUUCCGGAAGUCGUACAUGUCCAGCAUCAGCCCCCUCACGCCGUUCUGCGACACAAGAAAUUCAAUUACUUGAGCUUGAGAACGUCAUCAAUUUUACCUUCGAAGUAGCCACAGCUCACAACGUGUUUAUUUCAGCGGGGAUGGAAUGCGGCCAGGAAUGGACGUGCUACCCGAAUUGGAGCGGACACCACACGUCUCAUCCACACAAGGAUACACAGGGAGGAGAGGAGUGCCCAUCACGGGUGGCUGCUCCUCCCCUGCCAUGUGUGCGGUAUGGGUGAUCCUUGCAGCUAGCAUUGCCGUGCCAACGCUCCAAGCAAGCGUGUGGGCGUGCACGCAAGACCGGCGCCCGGAGGUGCGCUGCGCCUUGGACACGUGGACGAGCAUCUUUGACAUGUGUUGCGUCCGGGGACACCUCACCCCACCGCACACUGACAGGGUCUAACAUGGACUCGGAUACUCGCCGGUCCCACAGGUCAGCAGGCAAACGGAAGAGAGAGCAGAGCGAGAGCGGGCGGCGGUGGACUCACGUUGAGCUGCUCGGCGAUGGUGUCCUGCUGGUUAAACGCCGUGACGAUGGCCGUCCCGGUCUGGGACUGGGUGCCCAGCCGCGCGAAGGAGUUGUGGGUCGUCAGCCACGCGUAGCGGUUGAACGGCAGCCCCCGGUCCUUGCUCUGCGGGUCGACGGGGGUCACGCGGGUGCAGCGCGGCCGCACGUUGCCGUCCACCACGCACGUCUCGCAGUGCAGCCCGGCGUCGCAGUUCCGCGACAGCGCGCACGUCUCGCUCACCUGCAGUGCAGCAGCCGGAGAUCAUGUCCGUCCACGGGAGCGCAGCGCAAACACAAUCGCGGCCGAGAAAGAUCAAUGUCACUGGUGACAUGUCCUCAACUACCAGCCAGCGUACCUUCCGAGCGGAGGCGACGGCGGGGCACGAGCACAGGAAGGCGGCGGCGGCGGCGAAAGCAAGGACGAGAAGCACCGUCUCCUUGGCCAUAUCAAUUCUUCUUGCCGCGGCCACCCGCCCCCGCCAAGCUCUGCGCUGCGCGGCUGGUGCUACGUUCUUGGAACGGCGGACAGCGGAAGCUAGUGGUGGAGCAAGCCUGCAAUCCUUGUGUUGUGUGACUUGUAAGGCCAGACAUUCCAGGUUUCGUCGCUUGCUUAUGUGCGUGGUUUAUGCUCUGUCUUUUCGCGUCGCCUGAUCUUGGUAGCUCGCUGCGGCGUUUGUUAUUGCGCUUGGCCCCAUGUGUCAGUCAAGGGGACGGAGUGAUGGUACGGGUACGGGCUCCUCCGGUUGGACUUUUUCACAAUUCAUUCUGACCCUUUCAACAAACUUUGUCAUAAAAUAAACUCGACGUGAAAGUAUUUCACGAUCUGACCCUUUUAGCAACGCCAUAGACCGCGGUGUUUCUGCCCAAAAUAGAAACGCCAAGGUAGCUAGCGUUUCUGACCAAGAAGAAACGCCGAGGUAGCUAGCGUUGCGGACCAGGUAAGAAACGCCGAAGGCGCUGACGUUGCUGCCCAUCAUUGAAACGCCAAUGACCAUGGCGUUGCUGCCCUUCUCCAUGUGCAUGUAAAAUGUGGAUGAACAACCCAACUAAUAAGGUUAAUUAAUUAUGACCAAAGAGGGCAGCAACGCCAUGGUCCCUUGGCGUUUCAAUGAUGGGCAGCAACGCCAGCGCCUUUGGCGUUUUUUACCUGGUCCGCAACGCUAGCUACCUCGGCGUUUUUUCUUGGUCAGAAACGCUAGCUACCUCGGCGUUUCUAUGUUGGGCAGAAACGCCGGGGCUGUGGCGUUGCUAAAAGGGUCAGAUCGUGAAAUACUUUCACGUCGAGUUCAUUUUGUGACAAAGUUCGUUGAAAGGGUCAGAAUAGUGAUUUCGGCCCCUCCAGUUGCGGUGGUCAGGUGCAAUGUCAGACAGUCGGAGUGAUACUCCCUCCGUCCCAAAAUUCUUAUUUUAAAUUUGUCUAGAUAUAGAUAUAUCUAAUACUAAAACAUGACUUCAUACAUUUGUAUUUAGGCCUCUUUUGGUUCGUAGGGUAGGAGAAUCAUAGGAAUAAGAAAGUUAUAGGAAAUGAGAUGACAUGCUUCUCAAAUCCUAUGAGUAGGAAUAGGAAAUGAGAUGUCCUUUGUUUCACAUCAUAGGAUUUUUUUAUUAAGUCUAGCCUAAUGUUUAUUUUCCUAUGAAAUGUGAAGGAUAGGAAGAAUUCCUCCAUAGGAAUAGGAUUCUAUUCCUACAAACCAAAGGGCAUUAAAGGAAUUUUUCCUACAGAAAUCCUAUCGUAUGAAAUCCCUACAAAAUUCCUCCAAACCAAAGGAGGACAAAUCUAAGACAAGAAUUUUAGGACGAAGGGAGUGCUAACAAUCGGGGGUGUUAGAGCAUCUACAGCCCCGGUACCAUAUUCGAUCCGUCAAACGUCCACGAGCGUGUCCGGAUAUGUCAACGAACAGUGACCGAACAGUCCUCAAAUUCCCUUCUUUGCAUUUGAAUACUUUAUAUCUUAAAUCGUAAAUCCAUACAAUCCAUACAAAAGAAAAGUGAUGCGGAGCAUCCCAAGGUCAUCCUCAUGGACCUACCAUCGUCCCACCGAGUGCCAAGUGGACCCAUGACACAAGCACGUGUAAGAGCUCUCAAAAUCGAGGUGACAUCUCUCCUCUCGCAAUUCCUCUUUGAAACACAUGAGACAUGACUGCUACCUGAAACGGAGACACUUUACGUAUUACGUUGCAUGGAUCUGUCGGUUAGGGUAAGUUAAAAAGAUCACUAGGAGUUUAUUUUGGGCUAGAUUAUUUAGGGGGGCUGCUAUGCGUCCGUCGAUAAAUGAAUUGAAAACAUCGAUCGCCUUGCCAUUGGAUUGAGUAGCAAUAGCCGCCGGAUCUCUCCAACAAGGUGUGUACCGAAGCGUUAUUUUCGCCUCAAAUAGGUACUUUGUGGUCUGCAACAAAGAUCUUGUUGCAAAAACAUUUGCAACAGAGGUGGUGUUGCAGAUUUUUUUUCAUCUUUACUUUUUUGCAACAUAGAUGAUGUUGCGGGAGAAAUUUUGCAACAAAGGUGAUGUUGUGGAUUUUUUUAAUUUCCGUCUUUACUUUUUUUGCAGCAUAUAUGAUGUUGAGGGAGGAAUUUUGAAACUGUGGUGUUGCAGAUUUUUUUUUGUUUACGUCUUACAUUUUUUGCAACAUACAUGGUGUUGCGGGAGGAAUUUUGCAACACUGCUGGUGUUGCAAAUCAUUUUUCAAUGAAAGAUGAAUCGGACAAGAUGAGAGGCCGAGGGAAGACGGACGGGAGCUCGCUAGAGGGCAAUAGGAAGGGAAGGGAGAGGAAGGAGGCUGCGGCGACGAGGGAGAGAGGCGGUCGGAGGGAGCUUCGGCGACAGGGAGCGGCAUCGGCUGGAGCGGAUCGGCGCGCGGCUACCUCCCCCUGGAUCUCAAGAGAGGAAAAAGGAAUCGGGAUGAGGGGGACGAGUGGCCGAGUUUGCUCGGGAGCAUAGAGCUGGAGAUAUAAGCACAAAGGAGAUAUGGUGGUGGCAGGCCCCAUAGGACACGCGUCACACGAGGCAUGCGGUGGAUGAGCGGCAAGCAUCCGCCGGUUGAAAAAAUAUUUUCCCAUUAUCCAUGUCUUUGUCAAAAUUUACCAUUUUUUCUUGAGAAUACUGAAAAAAAUACGAAAACACUAACGCCCACAUGUGUGGGCGUUUGCAUCUCGCCCAUACGCGUAGAUCCGCGUCCGUUUGUGAGCUCACGAAUCUUGGCAUGUUUCUAGUGCCACGUAGGACUGGGCUGGUGUGUGGGCAUUCGCCCGGUCGCCCACACGGCCGUUUCAGGACACGGAGGGGCCGAUGUGUGGGUGUUCAGCAGUUCGCCCAUACGCCACUUUCCACUAACACACAAGGGCUGGUGUAUGGGCAUUUGCCAUCUCGCCCACACUCCCGUCUUCUCUCCCACACCCAAACUGCUAGUUUCCAUGUGUUAUGCAGUGUACAUGGCAACUGCCCUAAUGUGCUUGUAAGCAGAUGGCAACUCUCUUUUUUCUUACCCGAACAUGUCAGUUGCCAUGUGUUUUGCAGGGUACACGACAACUGCCUAGUGUGCACGUAAACAGAUGGCAACUCUCUUUUACCCGAGUUGCCAUGUGUUUUUGCAUGGUACAUGGUAGCUGCCCUAGCGUGCACGUAAGAAGAUGGCAACUCUUCCUUUUACAUGGCAACUGCCCUAGCGUGCUUGUGAGCACAUGACAACUCUCUCAACUGCCUAUGUUAGUAGGUGGCAACUCCAAAUUUUUUGAAAUCAUGGCAACUGCAGUAGACCAGACCAUACAUGGCAACUGCAGUUGAGCAACCAUGGCAACUGUAAUUGUCCGACAUGGCAACCGUAGUUCAGCAACACGACAACUGCAGUUAAACGAACAUGGACGAGGGUCUGGACCAUGGCAAUUGCGGGCGCGCGAUGACUGUCACGCAGGGCGUGAGGGACCACGAGGUACGAGGCCUGACGCACGGGGCGUGUGGGUGUUAUCUAUUUCGCCCACACGCACGCGUGUGAGAGAGAUCGGGAGGAAAAAAAGAGGUAUGUGAGCAUUACUUGUUUUGCCCACAGUAGGUGUGUGGGCUGUUCCUUUUAUACACCACACAAAAUGUGUGGGCAGUCCCCCUAACGCCCACAUGUGUAAUACUUAUCGGCAUCCAAAAAAACUACUAUAUGUGAGGAAGAUGCGUAACUCAUUAUUAGCACUGGAGCUCAGGUUAGCGUGUUUUGACAGCAAUUCUGACCGGCGGGGGUCCGGGCAUCAGGGCUACGUUGGCAUUGCAUGCGUAGAGCACUCUGAGAUGGAUGUGGAGCCCACGGGUCAACUGGGUCCAUGCAACAUCUACUAGUAGUGUAUAUGAAUAAGACACUUUUGUUUUAUUUCUGUGUGUGCUUACAAAUGGACCCCAUUGGACACCGGCGGGUGGACGCUGAUGAGCUGUGCUCUUGGGCGUGGCGGAGCCGCCACCUGGAACUACACUAAGGCCUCAUUUGGCGCGAGUGGGUUGAGGGGGUUUCGAGAGGAUUUUCCUCGCGUGGGCCAGAAACCCCAGAGACCACGUUGGCCCAUUUGGUAUGGGGGUUUGUAUGGGCCAAUCCUCUCUAAUCCACGCGAACCCACACGACUCGAAACCCUCGUUGAGCGACUCAGGGAAUCGCUCGUCCUAUCGCAUGCCACCAGCGAGAGGAAGAGCCGCCGCCGCCGUCACCACCGAGGGGAAGAGCCCCGCCGCCGCCAUCGAGGGGAAGAGCCCCACCAGCGAGAGGAGGAGCCCCGACGCCACCCGCCGCCCCGACGCCGCCCGACGUCCCGUCGCUGCCCGACGCCGGCGUUACUCCUCCAGCAUACCGGCCUUCUCACCGGUGGUAAGUCAUAUCCGCCUCUCCCCUCCUUCCCCUCCUCUGCUCGCCUCCGUCCUAACCCUGUCCCCGGUGAUAAGUCAUCGACGCCGACGAGCUCGCUAAGAACGCUGUCUUCUUCUAGCCACUCAUCGACCCUAACCCUACCCAGCGAGAUUGUCGUGAUUUUCUGAUGGUGAUGGUGAUGGUCUGAUGGAUCUAGGAGGAUUGACAGUUUGUAGCAAUAUUGUAGAAUGAGAUGUUUAUUUCAUUUUAUUUGAAAUGGAUGAGUGCUCUACAUAUUUGUUAGGAGAGAAUCCAUGUUUCAAAUGUCCAUUGCCGGAGAUGUCAAGAUUUGUUAGUAGUUGAUGCAAAGGAGGAGGACUUGUUGGGUUGUGGUGAUGUCCCCGGCCUAAUUGAUGGAGAAGCAAUCCCUCAUCUCAAUGGUCGAUAGUCCUAUGAUAAAUCCCGGCUUAAUUUCUCAUCGGUCACAUAGAGCUUGAAAAAAUCACAUCCAUGCAUGUAUGAAAUCCCAAUAAUAGUUGCAAAAUAAAAUUGAAAGUUUGGGUUGAUGAUCUAUGAUAUUUAUUACUGAUUGAUAGAGCUGACAUGUGAUUUAGCAAGUAAUGAGGGUAGUUUAGUUUCAUUGUCUUUAAUAAUUUUUGGCUUGGCCAUCAGGGCACUGCAAUGCUAUGGGUUGAUAAAGAAAGAAGGGAAAUAAACGAGAAAGCAAGACAGAAUUGGCAGAAUCAGGACAAAUGACGUACCCUGUAAUGAAUUGAGAGUCUCUACUGGAAUAUUUCUUUAUUUAUUUUUGGUAAUCUUUUUUUGGGUCUCCAAUUUGUUCACUUGAUGUUGAUGGGUGUUUUCGUGGGAUCUCAUACUGUUUUUCUGCUGGACCGCAUACACCCUGAGACUCUUGUUUUGGACCUUCACGCUGUUCACUAGAUGAUUUUUGUAGAUUCUGCCGCCGAAGAUGAAGAGAGUGCUGAUGUGUUUCUUCGGAGCGAAAUGGCAGAGUUGCAUCAACGUAUCUAAGGUAACAAUCUUCUGCAUCCCCUUCUUCUUUGUGCUACCUGUCAAGAUUUAGAUGCUGCAAUUCUUCAGUCUAGAGCUGACUUAGAUGAUAGAACUGAUUUACUCAAUUGCUGGCUGGUGCAUAUAUUUCAUAGUAGAAAAUGUUGGUUGUGUUCAUGAGUGUCACUAUGUUCAUGUCAACAUAAUGACGAACAACAUCAACGCCAUGAUUUUGCCUUGCUCGAGAUAUGGUUUGUGACUAUAUAUGAUAGCAUAUCUUUGCAAUUAGUAUAAUCUAGCUAGCCAGUUGCGAGCACAAUAUUGUCAUUGUAUAUGUCAAGUUUGACAGUUGAUGCCUAUUUCUAGCUAGAAGUUGGUGAGGGAGUCCUGGAUUAAGGGGUCCUCGGCCGUCCGGCCUAUGUGACGUGGGCCAGACUGAUGGGCUAUGAAGAUACAAGAUAGAAGACUUCUUCCUAUGUUCGGAUGGGACUCUUCUUUGCGUGGAUGGCAAGCUUGGCGUUCGGAUAUGUAGAUUCCUUUCUCUAUAACCGACUUUAUACAACCCUAGUCCCCUCUGGUGUCUAUAUAAACCGAGGGCUUAGUCCGUAGAGGCAAUCAUAAUCAUACAGGCUAGACUUCUAGGGUUUUAGCCAUUACAAUCUCAUGGUAGAUCAACUCUUGUAAUACUCAUAUUCAUCAAGAUCAAUCAAGUAGGAAGUAGGGUAUUACCUCCAUAGAGAGGGCCCGAACUUGGGUAAACAUCGUGUCCCCCGCCUCCCGUUAUCAUCAUCCUUAGACAUACAGUUCGGAACCCCCUAUCCGAGAUCCGCCGGUUUUGACACCGACAUUGGUGCUUUCAUUGAGAGUUCCACUGCGUCGUCACCAAAAGGUUUGAUGGCUCCGUCAAUCAUCUACAACAAUGCAGUCCAGGGGGAGGUUUUCUUCCUAGGAUAGAUCUUCGUAUUCGGCGGCUUCGCACUACGGGCCAACUCGCUUGGCCAUCUAGAGCAGAUUGACAGCUACGCCCCUGGCUGAGGGAGUCCUGGAUAAGGGGGUAUCCGGACAGCCGGACUAUAUUCGUCGUCCGGACUAUAGAAGCGUCAAGAUAAAAGACUCAAGACUUUGGCUCGUGUCCGGAUGGGACUCUCCUUUGCGUGGAAGACAAGCUUGGCGAUCCGGAUAUUAUGUUUCCUUCCUUGUAACCGACUCCAUGUAAACCCUAACUCUCCGGUGUCUAUAUAAACCGGAGAGGAUGGUCCUUAGAAGGCCGAUCACAUUUACAAUCAUACCAUCAUAGGCUAGCUCUUAGGGUUUAGCCUCUACGAUCUCAUGGUAGAUCAACUCUUGUAUUCCACAUAUCUUCAAUAUUAAUCAAGCAGGAAGUAGGGUUUUACCUCUACCGAGAGGGCCCGAACCUGGGUAAACAUUGUGUCCCUUGCUUCCUGUUACCAUCAGCCUAAGACGCACAGAUCGGGACCCCCUACCCGAGAUCCGCCGGUUUUGACACUGACAUUGGUGCUUUCAUUGAGAGUUCCUCUGUGUCGUCGCUUUGAGGCUUGAUGGCACCCUCAAUCAUCAACAACGCAGUCCAGGGUGAGAUUUUUCUCCCUGGACAGAUCUUUGUGUUCGGCGGCUUCGCACUGCGGGCCAAUUCGCUUGGCUAGUUGGAGCAGAUCGAUAGCUUCGCCCCUGGCCGCCAGAUCAGGUUCGAAAACUUGAUCUACAUGGCAGACAUCCGUAGAGACUUGAUCUUCGGCGGAUUCGAGCCUGUGCCAGGAGCGCCGGACAGUCACGACGAGCACGGCCUAGACCUGCAAUCGGGCAAUACUCGGGACAUCAUCCCCGAAGCAGCCCUGGAUCCACAUCUAGGGCAGGUUGCGUUGCCCACGGACGGAGGGCUGGACCCUGCCCCGUGGGUUGCACACUCGUCGGCGGUGGAGCCAAACACAGGUCCCACCUCUGUGGAGGCCUGUUACCCUGGGCCCCCGGACUCAUAUCCGGCUGUUGGCCCCGGUCCGCCCGCUCUUGAGCCCGCCGAGCCAGGCUGGGCUUCGGUAAUGGAGUUUACAGUUGCAGACAUCUUUCAGCACCCGCCCUUUGGCAACAUGCUGAACUUAGUAAGGUCUCUCUCUUUGUCAGGAGACUCUGGGCUGAACUAUGUUUGGCCCGAGUGGGAAGCAGGCGACGAAGGAAUUGGAUGCCCACCCACCACCCACUUCAUUGCCAUGACCGAAGAUUUAACCGACGUGCAUGACUUCGGCUCCGAAGACAUCGACGGUAUGGACGACGAUGCAGGAGAAGCUCCAGAAUCCCCGGGGCGCGGGACUGCUACCUGGUCCCACGAUAUAUACAUGGUAGAUACGCCCAAUAAGGACGACAGCGAUAAACCGGAAGAUAAAACACCCGGGAAAAAGCCAAAAAGGCGGCGCAGACGCUGCUCAAAGUCCAGCAAUGGCAAAAAUAGCGACAAGAGCGCAAUAAGGGCUGAUAUACCCGCAAACUCCGAGAGAAAUAAUGACCACACGGACCCAGCGAUGGAGCAGGACGAGCCAGGUCACGCCAAAUCAAGUUCGGAGCAAAUACCUGAUCACAAUGAUCAGGGGGGACGAGCUCAUGAUGCCGCCCCAGAACAGGAAGACAGUCCGGACGACGAUGCAUUCAUCAUCCCGGACGAACAAGUGGAAUGAGACAACCUCCACAGAAAGCUUAUGGCCACCGCAAUAAGUCUUAAAAUGCAGAAGCAAUGGCUCAAAGCCGCACAGGAAAAGCUCAACCGAAGAUGGAAUACAGUGUUAGACACUGGAAAAAGAUAUGGCGAUGACCGCCAUACGAAAAGCUAUCCAAAGCGCAAGCUACUGCCAGAGUUCGACGACGUGGCUGUUCCACCACAAGAAAAUCCGACCAAGAAACCAGACAUACCGCUUCACAACCAUAACAGAGCGGCUGCGGACACUGCACACGAUCCAUGCGAACAUCCGGACAAGAAGGCCGGUGCAGCUAGGUCCAUAUAUGGAUCUAGAAGACCCACCCCAGCGAGGGACUUUGGUCACCCAAAUGCUCAUACAAGCUAGAUACCAAUUCGGAAUCAACCCCGAACACAACAACAACAGCCGACUACAUGCCACAAUGCGCCCAGAUACAGAGGAGCUGUUCACUCCCUGUGCUUCACCGAAGAGGUACUGGACCAUGAAUUCCCACAAGACUUUAAACCCGUGAACAUAGAAGCAUACGACGACACGACAGACCCAGGGGUCUGGAUAAAGGAUUCUAUCCUAUAUAUUCACAUGGCUCGUGGGGAUGACCUCCAUGCCAUCAAAUACCUUCCCCUCAAGUUGAAGGGACCAGCUCGACACUGGUUGAAAAGCCUUCCCGUAAACUCAAUUGGGAGUUGGGAGGAACUCGAAGAUGAUUUCAGGGCCAACUUCCAAGGGACUUAUGUCCGGCCUCCGGAUGCAGACGAUCUAAGUCACAUAAUCCAACAACCCGGAGAGUCCGCCCGCAAGCUUUGGAACAGAUUCCUCACUAAGAAGAAUCAAAUUGUCGACUGUCCGGAAGCCGAAGCCUUAGCGGCUUUCAAACACAGCAUCCGUGACGAAUGGCUCGCCCGACACCUCGGCCAAGAAAAGCCAAGGACAAUGGCAGCCUUAACAAGCCUUAUGACCCGCUUUUGUGCGGGUGAGGAUAGCUGGCUGGUCCGUAAAGGCACCAGCGACCUCAGCACAUCCGAAAUAAGGGAUGGCAACGGGAAGCCAUGGCGUAAUAAAAACAAACGCCAAAACAAGGAAGAGAGCCCGGACAACACGACGGUCAACGCCGGAUUCAGGGGCUCUCGACCUGAUCAGCAAAAGAAGCCAUUCAAAGGCGGUAAAGAUGGACCGUCCGGUCUGAACAAAGUUCUGGACAGACUAUGCCAAAUUCAUGGCACCCCGGAGAAACCUGCGAACCACACCCAUAGAGAGUGCUGGGUCUUCAAGCAGGCCGGCAAAUUAAACGCCGAACACAAGGGGAGGGACACACCAAGCGAAGACAAGGAUGAGCCUCACCAGCCGAACACUGGGGGACAGAAAAAAUUCCCGCCAGAGAUUAAAACAGUAAACAUGAUCCACGCGACUCACACAUCCACGAGAAGGCAUGAACGCUCGCUCAUAGAAGCGCAUGAUGUAGAGCCCGUCGUACCCACGUCUCACUACUGGAUGUCCCGUCCGAUCUAUUUUGAUCACAUGGACGGCCGAACUACAAUUCGGCAAGGAGGAUCACAGGCCUUGGUGCUUGACCCAAUAAUCGACGGAUACCGUCUCACCCAUGUCCUCAUGGACGGCAGCAGCGGUCUCAAUUUAAUAUACGAAGACACUGUCCGCAGAAUGGGGAUAGACCCAUCCAGAAUUAAACAAAGCAACACCACUUUUGAAGGGGUGAUACCGGGCGUUGCAGCCCGUGCCAGGGGCUUCGUCAUGCUGGAAGUAAUAUUCGACUCCCCAGGAAACUCCAGAAGCGAAGAGCUGCUCUUCACUGUCGCACCCUUCCGAAGCAGCUAUCACGCAUUGCUAGGAAGAACGGCCUUCGCCCGCUUCAACGCAUUGCCACAUUAUGGCCACCUUACAAUCAAGAUGCCCGGUCCCCGUGGCGUCAUCACCGUUAGCGGAAUCAUAGAGCACCCUUCACGCGCAGAGGAGAACAUGACGGCCCUGGCGGUCGGACUAUAAGUGGCCUCCAGUAUUAGAAAACAUGACCGGUCAUUACGACCACAGACACAGUUAGACGAGUCCGGUCGCCUAGAUAAAAUUCACACAUGGCACCGUAUAUGUAAUCCCAUAAUGGAAACCAGGGGCUGUAUAUAUUUAAUACAACCCCACGCUCUACUCAACCUUAUUGGCAGGCCAAUUGCUUACAUUUGUAUUACUAAUCGCAUACUUACGUUGCAACUUCCUACAAGUUUUUCUUUUUUACAGACAACGUUCGUGCGAUACCCUUCCAGGAUACGGCACAACGGAGACAAAGGCGCAGACGUGCAGCAGGGCCCCGUGCAACAUGUUUCUUUUUAGAUUAAGCCCAUGUGUAAACCUUUUCUACCGCCUCUUGUUGUUUAAACCAUCCCAUGGGUUCUAUACCCACAGAGGAUACUGCCGUUUUUGGCAUUCGGCCACGGUAGACUAAAUUGCACGUACCUAGGAAUAAAGGGCUUACAAUAGGCUCUUGUCAGCCUAUCUUCUUUUACAAAAGACCGAAUACCCUUGGGAGUAUUCGGUGUCACGAGUUUGGCCGUAUAUGCAUCAGCUCCGAAUCAUGUCUUUGGUCAAAUGUUGGGUUUUCCCGGCUCCUGGGUUUGCCGCCUUACGUUCCGCUAUCAUCCGGCUAAGGCAGGCCAAAGGAGAACUACUGCGAUUGUGCCCUGGUUAUUCCGAAUGAGCGCCUCAGUAGAGAAAGCCGAAAACUGACCGUCAUGAUACAGCAAGAGACUGUUCAAUCACUCGAAGACUCACCGGAAUCCCUAAAGAUUCCUCCGCAUUAACGAAGGGCCGUUUCCCGGCCAUGUACACACGCUCCCGUAUUCGGAUACACGCUAAGGUACCAGGGGCUACAUAGUAGCCCCACCAUUAUACUCCCAUGGCUAAGCGAAAGUGUUACAGCUAUAUAGUCCGGUUGCCUAGUUCGACGUGCGAUCACCUCCUUUAUGGACCAAGACGUUGGGUCAAGUGUGAUUAAGCACAUGUUUUCGCGAACACCCUCGCAUUACGUGCGUGGGGGCUGAAGCCAACGACUGUUAUCUUUCGGACUACUUAUACAUAUAAGAAACGGCCGCACAGGGGGGACAAUCAUACUUUUGGGCAAAAGUAUAAACAUAGCCUCAUAAUUAAACUAAACAUUGUUCUCUACAAUGAUUCAACCUAUCACUCGAAUGACACAUCCUUCGAGCACUGCGCCUCUAUUAGGCAGGCACCUUCCGUGACUUGCGCCAAGUAGUGCUCGGCCGGAUAUUAGCCUCCCGCCGGAUCCUGGGUCGCUAUUAUAGUGGCCUGCAUAUCCGUCCAAUAGGCUUUAACGCGGGCCAGUGCCAUCCGUGCACCUCUAUGCACACCGACCUCCUCAUGGCGUCAAUCCGAUACAUGGCUCCAAGGAACGGCUGCACCAAACCAAAAAUAGCUGUCCGGCUUAGGCCCCUUCGACCAAAGAUGGUCUAUUACAGACCGCAUUGCCAGCCCGGACAGCCUGUGGAGCUCCGCCAUAGCAGCCACCUUCUCAUUCAGCGGCAGCGGGCGAGUGGGUGCAUGCAACUGCUGAAGGAAAUAUGCCCUAGAGGCAAUAAUAAAGUUAUUAUUUAUUUCCUCAUAUCAUGAUAAAUGUUUAUUAUUCAUGCUAGAAUUGUAUUAACCGGAAACAUGAUACACGUGUGAAUACAUAGACAAACAUAUAGUCACUACUAUGCCUCUACUUGACUAGCUCAUUAAUCAAAGACGGUUAUGUUUCCUAACUAUAGACAUGUGUUGUCAUUUGAUUAAUGGGAUCACAUCAUUAGGAGAAUGAUGUGAUUGACAUGACCCAUUCCGUUAGCCUAGCACUUGAUCGUUUAGUAUGUUGCUAUUGCUUUCUUCAUGACUUAUACAAAGUUCCUGCAACUAUGAGAUUGUGCAACUCCCGUUUAUCGGAAGAACACUUUGUGUGCUACCAAACGUCACAAUGUAACUGGGUGAUUAUAAAGGUGCUCUACAGGUGUUUCCGAAGGUACAUGUUGGGUUGGCAUAAUUCGAGAUUAGGUUUUGUCACUCCGAUUGUCGGAGAGGUAUCUCUGGGCCCUCUCGGUAAUACUACUCACCUAAGCCUUGCAAGCAUUGUAAAUAAUGAGUUAGUUAUAAGAUGAUGUGUUACAGAACGAGUAAAGAGACUUGCCGGUAACGAGAUUGAACUAGGUAUUGGAUACCGACGAUCAAAUCUCGGGCAAGUAACAUACCGAUGACAAAGGGAACAACGUAUGUUGUUAUGCGGUUUGACCGAUAAAGAUCUUCGUAGAAUAUGUAGGAACCAAUAUGGGCAUCCAGGUUCCGCUAUUGGUUAUUGACCGAGAUUAGUUCUAGGUCAUGUCUACAUAGUUCUCGAACCCAUAGGGUCCACACGCUUAACGUUACGAUGACAGUUUUAUUAUGAGUUUUGAUGUACCGAAGUUUGUUCGGAGUCCCGGAUGUGAUCACGGACGUGACGAGGAGUCUCGAAAUGGUCGAGACAUAAAGAUUGAUAUAUUGGACGACUAUAUUCGGACAUCGGAAGUGUUCCGGGUGAUUUCGGAGAAAACCGGAGUGCCGGAGGGUUACCGGAACCCCUCCCGGAGAGUUAAUGGGCCACAUGGGCCUUGGUGAGAAGAGAGAGGGGCGGCCAGGAAGGGCCGCGCGCCCCCUCUCCCUCUGGUCCGAAUUGGACUAGGGGGGGGGGGGGGGGGCGGCGCCCCCCUCUUUCCUUCCCCUCCUCUCCCCCUUCCUUCCCCUCCUAGUAGGAGUAGGAAAGGAGGAGUCCUACUCCUACUAGGAGGAGGACUCCUCCUCCUGGCGCGCCCAACAAGGGCCGGCCGGCCUCCCCCCUCCCUCCUUUAUAUACGGGGGCAGGGGGCACUCCAUAGACACAAGUUGAUCUACGGAUCGUUCCUUAGCCGUGUGCGGUGCCCCCUUCCACCAUAUUCCACCUCGGUCAUAUUGUCGCGGAGUUUAGGCGAAGCCCUGCGCCGGUAGAACAUCAUCAUCGUCACCACGCCGUCGUGCUGACGGAACUCAUCCCCGAAGCUUUGCUGGAUCAGAGCCCGGGGAUCAUCAUCGAGCUGAACGUGUGCUGAACUCGGAGGUGCCGUACGUUCGGUGCUUGGAUCGGUCGGGUCGUGAAGACGUACGACUACAUCAACCGCGUUGUCAUAACGCUUCCGCUUACGGUCUACGAGGGUACGUGGACGAACACUCUCCCCUCUCAUUGCUAUGCAUCACCAUGAUCUUGCGUGUGCGUAGGAAUUUUUUUGAAAUUACUACGUUCCCCAACAGUGGCAUCCGAACCAGGUUUUAUGCGUUGAUGUUAUAUGCACGAGUAGAACACAAGUGAGUUGUGGGCGAUACAAGUCAUACUGCUUACCAGCAUGUCAUACUUUGGUUCGGUGGUAUUGUGAGAUGAAGCAGCCCGGACCGACAUUACGCGUACGCUUACGCGAGACUGGUUUCACCGUUACGAGCACUCGUGCUUAAAUGUGGCUGGCGGGUGUCUGUCUCUCUCAUUUUAGCUGAAUCGAGUGUGGCUACGCCCGGUCCUUGCAAAGGUUAAAACAGCACCAACUUGACAAACUAUUGUUGUGGUUUUUAUGCGUAGGUAAGAAAGGUUCUUGCUAAAAGCCCGUAGCAGCCACGUAAAAUUUGCAACAACAAAGUAGAGGACGUCUAACUUGUUUUUGCAUGGCAUGUUGUGAUGUGAUAUGGUCAAGACGUGAUGCUAUAUUUUAUUGUAUGAGAUGAUCAUGUUUUGUAACCGAAGUUAUCGGCAACUGGCAGGAGCCAUAUGGUUGUUGCUUUAUUGUAUGAAAUGCAAACGCCCUGUAAUUGCUUUACUUUAUCACUAAGCGGUAGCGAUAGUCGUAGAAGCAAUAGUUGGCGAGACGACAACGAUGCUAUGAUGGAGAUCAAGGUGUCGCGCCGGUGACGAUGGUGAUCAUGACGGUGCUUCGAAGAUGGAGAUCACAAGCACAAGAUGAUGAUGGCCAUAUCAUAUCACUUAUAUUGAUUGCAUGUGAUGUUUAUCCUUUAUGCAUCUUAUCUUGCUUUGAUUGACGGUAGCAUUUUAAGAUGAUCUCUCACUAAAAUUAUCAAGAAGUGUUCUCCCUGAGUAUGCACCGUUGCCAAAGUUCGUCGUGCCCAGACACCACGUGAUGAUCGGGUGUGAUAAGCUCUACGUCCAUCUACAAUGGGUGCAAGCCAGUUUUGCACACGCAGAAUACUCAGGUUAAACUUGACGAGCCUAGCAUAUGCAGAUAUGGCCUCGGAACACGGAGACCGAAAGGUCGAGCGUGAACCAUAUAGUAGAUAUGAUCAACAUAGUGAUGUUCACCAUUGAAAACUACUCCAUCUCACGUGAUGAUCGGUUAUGGUUUAGUUGAUUUGGAUCACACGAUCACUUAGAUGACUAGAGAGAUGUCUGUCUAAGUGGGAGUUCUUAAGUAAUAUGAUUAAUUGAACUUAAAUUUAUCAUGAACUUAGUACCUGAUAGUAUUAUUGCUUGUCUAUGUUUGUUUGUAGAUAGAUGGCUCGUGCUGUUGUUCCAUUGAAUUUUAAUGCGUUCCUUGAGAAAGCAAAGUUGAAAGAUGAUGGUAGCAAUUAUACAGACUGGGUCCGUAACCUGAGGAUUAUCCUCAUUGCUGCACAGAAAAGUUACAUCCUGGAAGCACCGCUGGGUGCCAGGCCUGCUGCUGAUGCAACUGACGACGUUAAGAACGUUUGGCAGAGCAAAGCUGAUGACUACUCUAUAGUUCAGUGUGCCAUGCUUUACGGCUUAGAAUCGAGUCUUCAACGACGUUUUGAACGUCAUGGAGCAUAUGAGAUGUUCCAGGAGUUGAAGUUAAUAUUUCAAGCAAAUGCCCGGAUUGAGAGAUAUGAAGUCUCCAAUAAGUUCUACAGCUGCAAGAUGGAGGAGAAUAGUUCUGUCAGUGAACAUAUACUCAAAAUGUCUGGGUAUAAUAAUCACUUGAUUCAACUGGGAGUUAAUCUUCUGGAUGAUAGCGUCAUUGACAGAAUUCUCCAAUCACUGCCACCAAGCUACAAGAGCUUUGUGAUGAACUAUAAUAUGCAAGGGAUGAACAAGACUAUUCCCGAGCUCUUCGCAAUGCUAAAAGCUGCGGAGGUAGAAAUCAAGAAGGAGCAUCAAGUGUUGAUGGUCAACAAGACCACUAGUUUCAAGAAAAAGGGCAAAGGGAAAAAGAAGGGGAACUUCAAGAAGAACAGCAAGCAAGUUGCUGCUCAAGAGAAGAAACCCAAGUCUGGACCUAAGCCUGAAACUGAGUGUUUCUACUGCAAGCAGACUAGUCACUGGAAGCGGAACUGCCCCAAGUAUUUGGCGGAUAAGAAGGAUGGCAAAGUGAACAAAGGUAUAUGUGAUAUACAUGUUAUUGAUGUGUAGCUAACUAGAGCUCGUAGUAGCACCUGGGUAUUUGAUACUGGUUCUGUUGCUAAUAUUUGCAACUCGAAACAGGGACUACGGAAUAAGCGAGCACUGGCCAAGGACGAGGUGACGAUGCGCGUGGGAAACGGUUCCAAAGUCGAUGUGAUCGCAGUCGGCACGCUACCUCUACAUCUACCUUCGGGAUUAGUUUUAGACCUGAAUAAUUGUUAUUUGGUGCCAGCGUUGAGCAUGAACAUUAUAUCUGGAUCUUGUUUGAUGCGAGACGGUUAUUCAUUUAAAUCAGAGAAUAAUGGUUGUUCUAUUUAUAUGAGUAAUAUCUUUUAUGGUCAUGCACCCUUGAAGAGUGGUCUAUUUUUAUUAAAUCUCGAUAGUAGUGAUACACAUAUUCAUAGUGUUGAAACCAAAAGAUGCAGAGUUAAUAAUGAUAGUGCAACUUAUUUGUGGCACUGCCGUUUGGGUCAUAUCGGUGUAAAGCGCAUGAAGAAACUCCAUACUGAUGGACUUUUGGAAUCACUUGAUUAUGAAUCACUUGGUACUUGCGAACCGUGCCUUAUGGGCAAGAUGACUAAAACGCCGUUCUCCGGAACUAUGGAGCGAGCAACUGAUUUGUUGGAAAUCAUACAUACUGAUGUUUGUGGCCCAAUCAAUGUUGAGGCUCGCGGCGGGUAUCGUUAUUUUCUCACCUUCACAGAUGAUUUGAGCAGAUAUGGGUAUAUCUACUUGAUGAAACACAAGUCUGAAACAUUUGAAAAGUUCAAAGAAUUUCAGAGUGAAGUAGAAAAUCAUCGUAACAAGAAAAUAAAGUUUCUACGAUCUGAUCGUGGAGGAGAGUAUUUGAGUUAUGAGUUUGGCCUACACUUGAAACAAUGUGGAAUAGUUUCGCAACUCACGCCACCUGGAACACCACAACGAAAUGGUGUGUCCGAACGUCGUAAUCGUACUUUACUUGAUAUGGUGCGAUCUAUGAUGUCUCUUACUGAUUUACCGCUAUCGUUUUGGGGUUAUGCUUUAGAGACGACCGCAUUCACGUUAAAUAGGGCACCAUCAAAAUCCGUUGAAACGACGCCUUAUGAACUGUGGUUUGGCAAGAAACCAAAGUUGUCGUUUCUUAAAGUUUGGGGCUGUGAUGCUUAUGUGAAAAACCUUCAACCAGAUAAGCUCGAACCUAAAUCGGAGAAAUGUGUCUUCAUAGGAUACCCAAAAGAGACUAUUGGGUACACCUUCUAUCACAGAUCUGAAGGCAAGACAUUCGUUGCUAAGAAUGGAUCCUUUCUAGAGAAGGAGUUUCUCUCGAAAGAAGUGAGUGGGAGGAAAGUAGAACUUGAUGAGAUAACUGUAUCUACUCCCUUACUGGAAAGUAGUUCAUCAAGAGAACCACUUCCUGUGACAACUACACCAAUUAGUGAGGAAGCUAAUGAUAAUGAUCAUGAAACUUCAGAUCAAGUUUCUACUGAACCUCGUAGGUCGACCAGAGUAAGAUCCGCACCAGAGUGGUACGGUAAUCCUAUUCUGGAAGUCAUGUUACUUGACCAUGAUGAACCUACGAACUAUGAGGAAGCGAUGAUGAACCCGGAUUCCGCAAAAUGGCUAGAAGGCAUGAAAUCUGAGAUGUGAUCCAUGUAUGAAAACAAAGUAUGGACUUUGGUUGACUUGCCCGAUGAUCGGCAAGCCAUUGAGAAUAAAUGGAUCUUUAAGAAGAAGACUGACGCUGAUGGUAAUAUAACUGUCUAUAAAGCUCGACUUGUUGCAAAAGGUUUUCGACAAGUUCAAGGGGUUGACUACGAUGAGACUUUCUCACCCGUAGCGAUGCUUAAGUCCGUCCGAAUCAUGUUAGCUAUUGCUGCAUUUCAUGAUUAUGAAAUUUGGCAAAUGGAUGUCAAGACUGCAUUCUUGAAUGGAUUUCUAGAAGAAGAGUUGUAUAUGAUGCAGCCGGAAGGUUUUGUUGAUCCAAAAGGUGCUGACAAAGUGUGCAAGCUCCAUCGUUCCAUUUAUGGACUGGUGCAAGCAUCUCGGAGUUGGAAUAAACGCUUUGAUAGUGUGAUCAAAGCAUAUGGUUUUAUACAGACUUUUGGAGAAGCCUGUAUUUACGAGAAAGUGAGUGGGAGCUCUGUAGCAUUUCUAAUUUUAUAUGUAGAUGACAUAUUAUUAAUUGGAAAUGAUAUAGAAUUUCUGGAUAGCAUAAAAGGAUACUUGAAUAAAAGUUUUUCAAUGAAAGACCUCGGUGAAGCUGCUUACAUAUUGGGCAUCAAGAUCUAUAGAGAUAGAUCAAGACGCUUAAUAGGACUUUCACAAAGCACAUACCUUGACAAAAUUUUGAAAAAGUUCAAAAUGGAUCAGGCAAAGAAAGGAUUCUUGCCUGUGCUACAAGGUGUGAAGUUGAGUCAAACUCAAUGCCCGACCACAGCAGAAGAUAGAGAGAAAAUGAAAAAUGUUCCCUAUGCUUCAGCCGUAGGCUCUAUCAUGUAUGCAAUGCUGUGUACCAGACCUGGCGUAUGCUUAGCAAUAAGCUUGGCAGGAAGGUACCAAAGUAAUCCAGGAGUGGAUCACUGGACAGCGGUCAAGAACAUCCUAAAAUACCUGAAAAGGACUAAGGAUAUGUUUCUCGUAUAUGGAGGUGACAAAGAGCUAGUCGUAAACGGUUAUGUCGAUGCAAGCUUUGACACUGAUCCGGACGAUUCUAAAUCGCAAACCGGAUACAUGUUUUUAUUAAACGGUGGAGCUGUAAGUUGGUGCAGUUCUAAACAACGCGUCGUAGCGGGAUCUACAUGUGAAGCGGAGUACAUAGCUGCUUCGGAAGCAGCAAAUGAAGGAGUCUGGAUGAAAGAGUUCAUUUCCGAUCUAGGUGUCAUACCUAGUGCAUCGGGACCAAUGAAGAUCUUCUGUGACAAUACAGGUGCAAUUGCCUUGGCAAAGGAAUCCAGAUUUCACAAGAGGACCAAGCACAUCAAGAGAUGCUUCAAUUCCAUUCGGGACCAAGUCCAAGUGGGAGACAUAGAGAUUUGCAAGAUACAUACGGAUCUGAAUGUUGCAGACCCGUUGACUAAGCCUCUCUCACGAGCAAAACAUGAUCAGCACCAAGACUCCAUGGGUGUUAGAAUCAUUACUAUGUAAUCUAGAUUAUUGACUCUAGUGCAAGUGGGAGACUGAAGGAAAUAUGCCCUAGAGGCAAUAAUAAAGUUAUUAUUUAUUUCCUCAUAUCAUGAUAAAUGUUUAUUAUUCAUGCUAGAAUUGUAUUAACCGGAAACAUGAUACACGUGUGAAUACAUAGACAAACAUAAAGUCACUAAUAUGCCUCUACUUGACUAGCUCAUUAAUCAAAGAUGGUUAUGUUUCCUAACUAUAGACAGGUGUUGUCAUUUGAUUAAUGGGAUCACAUCAUUAGGAGAAUGAUGUGAUUGACAUGACCCAUUCCGUUAGCCUAGCACUUGAUCGUUUAGUAUGUUGCUAUUGCUUUCUUCAUGACUUAUACAAAGUUCCUGCAACUAUGAGAUUGUGCAACUCCCGUUUACCGGAAGAACACUUUGUGUGCUACCAAACGUCACAACGUAACUGGGUGAUUAUAAAGGUGCUCUACAGGUGUUUCCGAAGGUACAUGUUGGGUUGGCAUAAUUCGAGAUUAGGUUUUGUCACUCCGAUUGUCGGAGAGGUAUCUCUGGGCCCUCUCGGUAAUACUCAUCACCUAAGCCUUGCAAGCAUUGUAACUAAUGAGUUAGUUAUAAGAUGAUGUGUUACAGAACGAGUAAAGAGACUUGCCGGUAACGAGAUUGAACUAGGUAUUGGAUACCGAUGAUCAAAUCUCGGGCAAGUAACAUACCGAUGACAAAGGGAACAACAUAUGUUGUUAUGCGGUUUGACCGAUAAAGAUCUUCGUAGAAUAUGUAGGAACCAAUAUGGGCAUCCAGGUUCCGCUAUUGGUUAUUGACCGAGAUUAGUUCUAGGUCAUGUCUACAUAGUUCUCGAAUCCGUAGGGUCCGCACGCUUAACGUUAUGAUGAUAGUUUUAUUAUGAGUUUUGAUGUACCGAAGUUUGUUCGGAGUCCCGGAUGUGAUCACGGACAUGACGAGGAGUCUCGAAAUGGUCGAUACAUAAAGAUUGAUAUAUUGGACGACUAUAUUCGGACACUGGAAGUGUUCCGGGUGAUUUCGGAGAAAACCGGAGUGCCGGAGGGUUACCGGAACCCCUCCCGGAGAGUUAAUGGGCCACAUGGGCCUUGGUGGGAAGAGAGAGGGGCGGCCAGGAAGGGCCGCGCGCCCCUCUCCCUCUGGUCCGAAUUGGACUAGGAGGGGGGGGGGGGCGGCGCCCCCCUCUUUCCUUCCCCUCCUCUCCCCCUUCCUUCCCCUCCUAGUAGGAGUAGGAAAGGAGGAGUCCUACUCCUACUAGGAGGAGGACUCCUCCUCCUGGCGCGCCCAACAAGGGCCGGACGGCCUCCCCCCUCCCUCCUUUAUAUACGGGGGCAGGGGGUACCCCAUAGACACAAGUUGAUCUACGGAUCGUUCCUUAGCCGUGUGCGGUGCCCCCUUCCACCAUAUUCCACCUCGGUCAUAUCGUCGCGGAGUUUAGGCGAAGCCCUGCGCCGGUAGAACAUCAUCAUCGUCACCACGCCGUCGUGCUGACAGAACUCAUCCCCGAAGCUUUGCUAGAUCAGAGCCCGGGGAUCGUCAUCGAGCUGAACGUGUGCUGAACUCGGAGGUGCCGUACGUUCGGUGCUUGGAUCGGUCGGAUCGUGAAGACGUACGACUACAUCAACCGCGUUGUCAUAACGCUUCGGCUUACGGUCUACGAGGGUACGUGGACGAACACUCUCCCCUCUCGCUGCUAUGCAUCACCAUGAUCUUGCGUGUGCGUAGGAAUUUUUUUGAAAUUACUACGUUCCCCAACAACUGCGACCAGAAAAGCUUCUCCACUUCUUCAUCGCCUUGACCCUCGAAGAACUUGACAACGUUAGCUGUACUAUUUGCCAAGUCCGCAUAUGUGUCUGCCGGACUCAAGCGCCCCGCCAGGGGAGCAUACUUGGGAUCCAAGAACUUCGUCCGCAGCAAGUAUGAGCCCCCAGCCACGAUCUUGUCGGCCUGUUGGAGCUCUUCCCGCAUACUGCGGAUCUCGGUCCGCAUCUCCUUAGCGGCAUUAAGUGCCUUGUCCAGCUCGGCCGAACUAGCCUUACUCUCCUUUUCGAGGAGUGCGUAUCGGUCGAUGGCAUUCUUUAACUCCCCAGCCAUUUCAGCUACCUUUUCUGUGCUUCGGCGAUGAGCAGCCUGUUCGGCUCUCAAUUCCUCGGCCGCCUUUAGGGCAGCCGCAUUGCUAGCCCGAGCUUGUUCCUUGGCUUGAGCAAGCUCCGCCCUCAGGGCCUCCACGGCAGCAGCACCAUCUGUAGUGCAACCACAUGGCAUUAAUACUCCGCCCUCUUACAUUUCCCUAUACAUCAUAAUAAGGGAAGCUGAGCACAUACCCUGUGACUCCUCCAGCCGCUUAUUCACCAGCGUGAUAUCGGCAUCAAUUGCUCUGAUCUGCCUCCUUAGCUCGGCAGCUUCAACAGACUGGUCGGCUGCCGAAUCCUUGUAUACCUACGCACAUGUACGGUGCAUCCAUUAUUAUAUGAUCCACCGUUUGCCGCCUACGGCGGGCAACCAGAGUCUUAGGGGCUACUAUCUAUAGGGAGCACACCUACCGCGUGCUUCAUAACCAAAAAGUUGUGCAUUUUUUACUACAUACCUCAAAGCCUUUGAGCAUGCUUGUAAAUGCCUCAUUCAAGCCGCUGGUAGCGGAUGCAAUCUUUGUGAGCACCGUGCUCAUUAAGGAGCAGUGCUCCUCCGAGAGCGCGACUCGCUCCAGACGACCCGUCAGUGCGUCCGGCCGGACACUAAACUGCGCCGGACCCUUCUCAUCGCCCCCCGUGGGAGCCAAACACUCCGGGCUCAAGGCGGCUGAUGUAUUAGCCUCCGGCUUCGGCAGAUCCGGACUCCUCCGUGACGACACCUCUGUGUCGCCCGCUUCGUGAAGCAGAGAGGUGGGUGGAGUCUCACUCUCCAUCAUCUCUAGACGAAGGUCCCCAGAAGACGAACUCUGUUGAGAAGAGCUGCUCGCCGAACUACAAAAGACAAAGUCCUGGUUAUGGAUCUUGGAGUAACACCACACUUUUGAAUUAAUGAAUAACUUACGGCUCGGUGGAGAGCUGGCCCCCUGGUGGGCAUGACGCGGUAAGGAUGCCCAUCGCGGCAAAGCCCUCGGGCGAUGUUUUCUUCCCUUGCUUGGGCGUCUCCGCCUCCAAAUCUUCGGAGGCGACCCUCUUCUUUCCGCAUGGGGAGGAGGCUUUGACCUCCCCUUUCCGGCUAUCCUCCAUAGGAGAGGUAGCGAUUUCCCCAGUCUGGAUGCAUAGCGUGUGAAGUUCGGCUUGACCGCCCUUUCCUUCGCCUUUCCCCGAAGGGAUUUUGCUGAGCGCCCGGCUCGACAUCUUUGCAAUAGUGGGACCAGGCGAGCCUUCAGGAAGUGGCACCGGACACCUGAUUCUCUCCGCCUUGUUAAGCCAUUCCUGGCCACGGUAGGAUUUUCAGAAUAAAGGUUAUGAUAAAUAUACACGAAGUGUCCAGCUUUGAAGUUACUUACUUGGGCAUCUAGGCGAUUGCAGCUUAGGCCCGCAUCCUCGGUGGUGUCCGGACACUUUACUUGAGAUCCGAAGAAUAAUUUACACAUCCCUUCGAGCUUCAGGCCGAAGAUGUGCUUAAUAGUCCGCGGACCCUCCGGAUUAAAUUCCCACAUCCGGAGAGGCCGACGUUUGCACGGCAACAUCCGCCGGAUUAGCGUCACUUGCAUUAUGUUGACAAGAUUUAUGUCCCUCUCAAUAAGCUCCCGGAUGCGAUUCUGCAGUUCUGGUACAUCGCCAGCAGGCCCAUAGUUCUGUCCCACAUCGGUCCAAGAUGCCAACUGUGACGGAGGGCUUGAGCGGAACUCGGGGGCAGCUGCCCACUUUGUGCCUCUGGGAGUAGUGACAUAGAACCAUCUCCGUUGCCAUACAUCGGAUACUUCCGGAAAAGAACCCUCUGGCCAUGGGGCAUCAGCGUUUCUGCUUAUUACAGCGCCUCCGCACUCCGCAUGUCGCCCCUCGAUCAUCUUCGGCUUCACAUUAAAGGUCUUCAUCCAUAAGCCGAAGUCUGGGUUGACGUGGAGGAAGGCCUCGCACACGAUAAUGAAGGACGAGAUGUGAAGGAUGGCAUUUGGAGCCAGAUCAUGGAAAUCCAACCUGUAGUAGAACAUGAGUCCCCUCACGAAGGGGUCGAGGGUGAGGCCUAGGCCUCGGAGGAAGUGAGGGAUAAACACGACGCUCUCGUUGGGCUCUGGCAUGGGGAUAACUUGCCCCGGAGUAGGUAGCCUGUGCUGGAUAUCGGCGGUCAGGUAUCCGACCUUCCUAAGCUUAGCAAUGUCCUCCUCUUGAAUCGAGGAGGCCACCCACCGGCCUGUUGUGUCGGAUCCGGACAUAUUGGAGGGUCUGGGGUGCUGGAGCUUGGGUUUUGAGUGCUGGAGCUCGAAAGGCAAGGAGGAGCAGGAGAGGUGGUGAAAGGCGUAGGCCUUGACCCCUUUAUAAAAGGGAUGAAUAUCAAGAGUCCUCAGCGUGACCGCUUGAGACUUAUCUAAAAUACACGGAAUCAUACCAACGGUCGCCGUGGGGUCACAUAUGCCCAUAUUGAUAAAAGAGCCCGUGUUAAGGGGGACAUGAUCUCUGCCUUGGCAGGACGUGCCAACAAAACUGCCUCGCGACGUGAGUCGAGGUGGAGCAGGAGACGCCGGUUCAUGUUGGACCAAGCCACGAUACAAGGGCACGACGUGCAAAGAUUGCCAACAGAAGGAACUUAUGCUAGGGUAUGUGAAGAUCAUCUUGCAGAGCCGGACACGGUCUAUGUGUUCGAUAAUCAUCUUGGAGUAUUCGGAGGAGGAACCCGCCUUGCAAUGCCGAAGACAAGACUACGCACCGGACUCAUUGUCGUUGAAGCCUGGUUCAGGGGCUACUGAGGGAGUCAUGGAUAAGGGGGUAUCCGGACAGCAGGACUAUAUUCGUCGUCCGGACUAUAGAAGCGUCAAGAUACAAGACUCAAGACUUUGGCUCGUGUCCGGAUGGGACUCUCCUUUGCGUGGAAGACAAGCUUGGUGAUCCGGAUAUUAUGUUCCUUCCUUGUAACUGACUCCAUGUAAACCCUAGCUCUCCGGCGUCUAUAUAAACCGGAGAUGAUGGUCCUUAGAAGGCCGAUCACAUUUACAAUCAUACCAUCAUAGGCUAGCUCUUAGGGUUUAGCCUCUACGAUCUCGUGGUAGAUCAACUCUUGUAUUCCACAUAUCUUCAAUAUUAAUCAAGCAGGAAGGAGGGUUUUACCUCCACCGAGAGGGCCCAAACCUAGGUAAACAUUGUGUCCCUUGCUUCCUGUUACCAUCAUCCUAAGACGCACAGAUCGGGACCCCCUACCCGAGAUCCGCCGGUUUUGACACCGACACUGGCCAUCAGGUAAGGGUUGGCUUGAUCUUCGACGGAUUCGAGCCCAUGGCAGCCGCUCCCUGCCACCACGAUGAACAUGACCUAAAUCUGUCAUCGGACCGUGCCCAGGAGAUAGCGCCUGUAACUGCUCUGACCCUAGAUCUGGAGCAGACUGCACCGUCCGAGGACGGGAAGCUCAACCCCGCCACGAAAGCCACAGACUCAGCGGCGUUAGAGCCGCACACAGAUCCAACCUCGAGCGGGGCCUGUGUCACCGGAACCUCGGAUUCGUCUUCGGCCAUAGGUUCCGAACCGCGUGCAUCCGUGCCCAUCGAACCUGAUCAGGUGCCGAUCGUUGAAUUCAGUUCCGCGGACAUCUUUCGGCACUCACCUUUGGGCGAUGUGCUAAACUCGUUAAAAGCCCUCUCCUUAUCAGGGGACUCUCGGUCGAACUAUAUCCGGUUUGGAUUGGAAGCUGAUGACGGAGAAUUCCGCUUCCCACCCCCACCCACUUCAUAGCCACCGUCGAAGACUUAACCAACAUGCUCGAUUACGGUUCUGAAGACAUCGACGGUAUGGACGACUAUGCCGGAGAGGAGCAGGCACAAAAACCACGCUUAUAGGAAGAUGGACAACCACCUCCUCGUAUGAUGUAUACAUGGUGGAUACACCCAAAGAGAACAACGGUGGCAAUGAAAAGGAUCCAAUCAUGGAUAAGCCUCCUGAGAUACAACCAAAGAACCGAUGUCAGCGGCGCCGCUCUAAACCACGUCGUGGAAAAAACAGCAAUACCGGCACGGGAGAAAAUAAUACUCCGGACGAUGCCGAAGACAAGGAAGAUCCCGUUGAACCAGCUUCCGAACAGGAUGAACGGGAGGAUGGGCGAGUCAACCCUAAUGAACAGACUAUUAACAAAGACUCGGAGGACAGUAAUUAUCUUCCACCCUCCGAGGAUGAGGCGAGCCUCAGCGACGAAGACUUUAUCGUGCCUGAGGAGCCCGUCGAUCAGGAGCGCUUUAAGCGCCGGCUAAUAGCCACUGCAAGGAGCCUGAAAAAGAAGCAACAACAGCUUCAAGCUGAUCAAGAUCUACUCAAUGACAGAUGGACUAAUGUCCUAGAAGCCGAGGAAUACGGCCUUGAGCGCCCAACCAAAAGUUACCCGAAACACAAAUUGUUACCCCAAUUUGAUGAUGAGGCGCUGGAGCUCGUCCUACCAGCGCAUAAUGCGGCUGACCGACCACCACGUGGCCGGGACAAAACGGCAACUCAAGCCGAACACUAUCCCGCACUACCUCACCGUAAAAACAGAGACACAACAGCUCGGGGAUACACAUAUGACCUGUGGCAUGACCUGGAAAAUAGAGCAGGUCAGACCAGAUCGAUCUAGGGAUUGCAGGGGUGUGCCCCGAUGCGCGACGAUGGCCAUCCGGCCAGACGUGACAAACAUAACCACGCCCGGGCCGAAAACCGCACACGAACUCCACCCGAGCUACGUCGCGACUUGGCCCGAUAUAGAGGCGCAGCACACCCCCUCUGCUUCAGUGAUGAAGUAAUGGAACAUGAAUUCCCGGAAGGGUUUAAACCCGUGAACAUCGAAUCAUAUGAUGGGACAACAGACCCCGCGGUAUGGAUUGAAGAUUUCCUCCUCCACAUUCAUAUGGCCCGCAGUGAUGACCUUCACGCCAUCAAAUACUGUAGGACCUUGAAGUAUGUCUAGAGGGGGGGUGAUUAGACUACUUGAUCAAUUAAAAACUUAACCUUUUCCCAAUUUUAGACUUUGGCAGAUUUUAGCUAUCUUUGGACAAGUCAAGCAAUCAUCACACAAUUCAAGCAAGCAUGCAAAGAGUAUAUAGGCAGCGGAAAUUGAAGCAUGCAACUUGCAAGAAAGUAAAGGGAAGGGUUUAGAGGAUUCAAACACAAUUGGAGACACGGAUGUUUUUGGCGUGGUUCCGAUAGGUGGUGCUAUCGUACAUCCACGUUAAUGGAGACUUCAACCCACGAAGGGUAACGGCUGCGCGAGUCCACGGAGGGCUCCACCCAAGAAGGGUCCACGAAGAAGCAACCUUGUCUAUCCCACCAUGGCCGUCGCCCACGAAGGACUUGCCUCAUUAGCGGUAGAUCUUCACGAAGUAGGCGAUCUCCUUGCCCUUACAAACUCCUUGGUUCAACUCCACAAUCUUGUCGGAGGCUCCCAAGUGACACCUAGCCAAUCUAGGAGACACCACUCUCCAAGAAGUAACAAAUGGCGCGUUGAUGAUGAACUCCUUGCUCUUGUGCUUCAAAUGAUAGUCUCCCCAACACUCAACUCUCUCUCAUAGGAUUCAGAUCUGGUGGAAAGAAGAUUUGAGUGGAAAGCAACUUGGGGAAGGCUAGAGAUCAAGAUUCAUAUGGUUGGAAUGGAAUAUCUUGGCCUCAACACAUGAGUAGGUGGUUCUCUCUCAGAACUGGUAAGUUGGAAGUGUAGGUUUGUUCUGAUGGCUCUCUUCACAAAUGAAGAGGAGGUAGAGGGGUAUAUAUAGCCUACACACAAAAUCUAACCGUUACACACAAUUUACCAAUCUUGGUGGGACCGAAUCAUCAAACUCGGUCGGACCGAUUAGUAAACAUAGUGACCGUUAGGAUUUUCGGUGGGACCGACAUGCAACUCAGUAGGACCGAUAUGGUUAGGGUUAGGGCAUAACAUAAUCUCGGUGAGACCGAUUACACAAACUCGGUUAGACCAAUUUUGGUAAUUAGCUAACCAGAGAGUUGGUCAGGUGAACUCGGUGGGACCGAUUCGCUCUUUUCGGUGAGACCAAAAUGUUACGAAAGGAAAACAGAGAGUUUACAUUGCAAUCUCGGUGGGACCGAUCGCUCACUUCGGUUAGACCGAAACGUUACGAAGGGAAACAGAGAGAUUACAAUCCCAUCUCGGUGAGACCGAGAUCCCUAUCGGUGAGACCGAUUUGCCUAGGGUUUGUGGCAGUGGCUAUGACAUCUGAACUCGGUGGCGCCGGAUAGAAAGAAUCGGUAUGACCGAUUUUGACUUUAGGUUUAGGUCAUAUGUGGAUGUGAGAAAGUAGUUGAGGGUAUUUGGAGCAUAUCACUAAGCACUUGAAGCAACAGCCUCAUUAAGCAACACCUCAUCCCUCCUUGAUAGUAUUGGCUUUUCCUAUAGACUCAAUGUGAUCUUGGAUCACUAAAAUGUAAAAUGAAGAGUUUUGAGCUUUUGAUCUUGAGCCAAUCCUUUGUCCUUGAUAUUUUGAGGGAUCCACUUUCAUCAUCCAUGCCAUGCCAUUCAUUGAGCUUUCCUGAAAUAAUAGUCUUGGAAUAGCAUUAGCUCAACGAGAUAUAUGUUGUUAUGAAUUACCAAAACCACCUAGGGAUAGUUGCACUUUCAAUCUCCCCCUUUUUGGUAACUGAUGACAACAUAUAGAUCAAAGCUUCGACAAAUGAUAAUAAGAUUGAAAAACAUCGUCGCUUUGAGAAGUAUGUGAUAAGCAAGAGCUCCCCCUAAAUUUGUGCAUAGUUUAAAAUUUGCUUUGGACUGCAAAUGCACAAGGAAUUAGGCUCAUGGGUUACCCUUCCAUGUCACAUACAUCUUGGUGGAGCGCUCAAAAUAAUAAAGAUUGAAUACAUGCGCUCAUCACCAAGCAAAGUGAAUGAUCAUAUAAGGAUAGGUAAGAUAAUAUCAUCAAACAUGCAUAAGUGUAGCUUAUGAUCAAACACAUGAUCAUCAAUGUCUCACAGAUAAUAGCAUAGUAUCUCAAGCAAUCAAAAGCAAACAAAGUUUAACCACCAAAACAAGAGAGAAUAAAAGCAACACUCUCUCUUGAAGCCUAUGAUCUAUACAUUUUUCUCCCCCUUUGGCAACAAGUUACCAAAAAGUUCAUAGAAAAUGCAUAGUGCUAGAUCGACUCCCAGGCUUGAUCUUCAGGUGGUGGUGUAGAGAUGGCUCCUUGGACGAAGACUUCAGUCAAUGUAGAGGGAGCUGGAGGAGUUGGUGCUGGAGCUGGUUGCCCUGGAGCUGUAGGAGCUGUAGCUGGUGCAGAUGAUGUGGCUCUAGUGUCUGUCACAGGCACUGCAGCUGACCUCUGAGCUCUAGGCACUCUGGCAAAUGCAUCAGUGGUUGUCUUGCCCUUCCUCUCCUGCAUGUCAUCCUGAAGCUGCUCCACAACUGACUGAAUCUCAGUUACCUUGACAUCAAGAUCAUAGAAUUUUUGUUCCAUGAUUCUUUCCAGGCUCUCCUGGUUUUGAGUUAGGGUGGCCAACCCCUUCUCAAUCCUCAGUGUUGAUGCUAUCAAGUAACCAAGCUGCUCCUGCUUGUUCUUCAAAAAGUACUCAGAUGCCUCCUCUUGAGUUGGCAUCUUGGCAGCCUUCUCUUUCCUUGCCUUCUCCUUCUUCUCUUGAGCUUGCACUGAUGAUGGUUCAUUGUCAUUCAUUACAACUUGAUUGUCCUCAAAGUCUGGAUAGAUAGCAAAAUGUUCCUUAUCCAACAGAUAUUUUCCUGUGCCCAUCUUUGAGUUAAUCAACUCCUGAAUCUGUGGGGCAUAUCCACAACUUCUCUUUUGAUAUGCUGCAGUCCUCUUGAUAGUUUCUACCAUAAGGCUCAUGACCUUGAAUUUCUGUGGCACAUCAAAUAUGUGUAGCAAGUUUAUUGCAUGCCCUCUGAUCAUGCUCUGGUCAUGGUCUUUUUGACACUUUCUUUCCUUUUCUUUCCUUCUGCAACUGGCUCUUUGGGAUCAGGCUUUUCAGGUACUUGUGUUGAUCCUCUGGCUUUGGACAUUGGUUGUCUACCUGCAGGCCUUUUGAUCUUCAUUCCUGGCUUUACUGCAGUUGAGCUGUGCAUCUUCUUGAGCUCUACUUUCUUGGAAGUAGCCUCAUCUUCUUCUGCUAUAUAAUCCUCAUCCUCAGAUUCUGAGGUCUUCUUCUUUCUUGCCCCCGUGGCAGCCUUAGGCAGAUUGCUUGGAGUGCUUCUGCUCCCUUCAUCUGAGCUGCUAGAGGGACUAGUGCCCUUACUCAUGUGAAUCUGCUCUUCUGACUUGUUCUGACUAUCACUUUGGUCUGACAUGCUGAAAAUCACUGACUGCUGACAUUGUGAAUAGUUAUAGAUGAGAUAGAAUGGAUGAGCAUCACAAAAUACAGAGAUUUUUGCAAAAGGAUGAUUCAAAAAUUCAGUUUUAGUUUUCCACAGAAAGUAUUUUGGAUCAACCGAUUUUCUAACUCGGUGAUACCGAAGCAGUUUUGGAACCUAAACUGGUGAACUCGGUAGGACCGAGUCACAGUUCGGUGGCACCGAGACUGCUAGGGUUUCACAAAGUUUUAAAAUCGGUCACACCGAUUAGCAAUUCUCGGUCAGACCAAGAGUUACUAGUGCAAUGGCGUUAGCCAAAUCGGUGGGACCGAGUUUUUCAACUCGGUGGGUCCGAGAUGAUUUCGGUGGAAACCUAACCCUAAAUUUCCAAAUCGCAUCUAUUCUAAGGAUUGUAUUGACUGGAUAGGAGUGUUUCAAUCGUUGCAAGAUGCAUAAUGAACACAACGUGCUAGGAAUCAGAUGAGGAUAGCACUGUGAUCGAGUCCAUACCCUAGCUUGGCGAUGAACUCGCUACAGCGGCAACUGUGGGGGUGAAUUCCGUUGACGGCGGCGGAGACCAGCGACAGGAGGCGGCUGGCGACGAAGUCGACGAUCCGUAGACCUAGUAGGCAGAGCGAGCUAUGCGCGGGCGAGGAGUUUCAGAGAAAGUUUUCCAAAAUUUGCCCGUGAGUAUACAUAGCCCGACACUGUCGGUGUGACCGAGUGGAACAACUCGGUGGCACAGAGAUGCAUAACUAUAUACAGUUACAACAACUCGGUGUGAACGAAAAGUUCAAAUCAGUUGCACCGAGAUUGAAAACCUAGAUCGACUUAGUGAUCUCGGUAGGACCGAAAUGGAUGAGUCGGUCAGACCGAGAAUCACAAAGAAGUUUUGGAAGGUUAAGUCUAUGACGAAUCGGGGACUCCGAGUGCUCCUCACACAGAGUGGUUCGAAUCUGACUUGAUCAAAUUUUGUGAUGUAGCAUGAAUAGAGUUUGAGACGAGAAAAUCAUAGAUAGCUAGAGAAUGUUCUUAGGCAUUCUUGUCCAUCCACUUGGCCAAAGAAAAAGAAGCCAAUCGAUCAAAACAACAAGUGGAUGUCCUUGAAUGAGAAAAAUAUGCAACCAACAUGCUCACACAAUAAAAUGGCAAAUGAAAUAUGUGGCAAAGCAUGCACAACCAAUUCUAGCAUCUAUCAAACAAUUGGCGAUGACUAGGUCAUCUAUAUAUGAGUAUAUUGACUUAGGAGUCAAAUGAGAACAUUUGAUCAUAUGUCAUACUCAUCUUUUAAGCUCAAGUGGGGUUACCACUUUUACAUAAUGCAUUGAUGUGUUCACAUCAUUAGAGUUGCUUUGACUCAAUUUUUAGAGUUAAGCUCCCCCUAGAUGUGAGAUCCCCUUUUAGAGGGAUAAACUAACCUUGGGUUUUGUCGAUGAUGACUUCAUGUAGGUGUUGAAGAUGUGGAUGCUCAAUGUUGUUGUAGAUCAUUUGGAGCAAUCCUUUGGAGUGAGUUGCACUUUCAACAUACCUACAUGGGUUAGUCCCACAAGGAACAAACAAGAAUAUCCAUAGACAUAGAGUGAUGCACACACAAGAUGAUGUCCAUGAAAUAAUUAGGUUACCUUGUCCCUUGCCUUACCAACAUGAGGGUUUGUGACUCCUUGAACUAGUGCAAGAUGUGGAAGAUGGUUGCACUUGUUAUUGCCAAAAUGAUAUGAGUGACGAAUGUUGGCGGAGUCACCCUCAAGAAGUCUCUAGUUCUUCUUCUUCUUCAGGAUCCACAUCAUCUUGAUGGGAAUCCUUGGAGUUGUAGUCGUACUUGAUGAAGUAGAACUUGACGUAGUCUUAGGAACCCACUUGACCAAGGCCUUAGGUGCUUCUUCAAAUGCAUCAAUCUCCUCUUGAAGCUUGUCCUUGCCUUUGUUCUUGUGGUCUUGUGGUGGAAGAUCAUCUUGUACUUGUGUUCCCUUGAAGGAAGUAGGAUCAUACUUCUCUUGUUGAGGAGCAAACUUCAUCUUGGGGUAUUGAUCUUCUUCCCACUCAACUCCAUUGGCAUUGAACUUUCGUUCAAAACCAACACCUUGAUUCUUCCGAUGCCUUCCUUGCUUGCGUAAAAUUUCCUCGAAUUGCUUACUCCCGGCAAGGCUCUUGUAUACACCUUUCUCUAUAAUUCCCUUCAAUAAGCUAUUUUCUUGCUCAAGUGUAACUUGGCUAAGAGAAUCAUUAGUGGAAUCAAGAGAACUACUAGAAGCAACAAUAUUGGAUUUGGCAUUAUUAUUGUUACUACUAGAGGAAGGAUCUUUCUUGUACUUGUUACUACAUUUGACUUGAGGCAUGUAAGUAGAUAAGACUAAACGCUUGGCAAUAUAAGAAGAACUUUUCUUGCGAAGAUCAUCAUUUAUUGCUUUUAAGAACUCAUGCUCUUGCUCAAGAUUGAGCUUCUCAAAGCGUAACUUCUCAUGAGCCCUUAAAAGUUCUCGAUGAUCUUCGAAGAUAGUUUCAUGAGCUAACUUAAGAGUGUUUAGUUCUUUAGUUAGAAGCCCAAUUUUCUCCUUAUCAUUGUCAUUCGUUUUAUCUUGAUUAGCAUGAUUAAUUGACGUUUCAUCAUAGUAUUCAUCACUAGAGUUGUCAACAAAAUAAAUCAUCAUCACCUAGCAAGUCAUCUUCAUCACUAUUGAAAUCAACAUACUCGGGAUGUGUUACCUUUGGACCUUUGGCCAUGAAGCAUCUUCCAAUUCCUUCAUUUGGUGAGUCAAAUAUGUCGUAGGAGUUGGUUGACACAAGUGCUAGACCGGCAACACCUUCAUCUUGAGUAUAUUCGGAGUCGGAGUGAUAGCUUCUCUCGGAGUGAUGGUCGGAGUCGGAGCCGGAUACCCAUUCACCAACAUGAGCUUGAUGUCUUAGUUUUGUGUAGCUCUUUGAUGACUUGUCCUUCCUUUCCGAAUCCUUGCUUCUCCGCGAUGGUCUUCGUUCAUAACGAUCAUCUCUACUCCUCCUCUCUCUUGGUGGUGAUUCUUCUCUUUUGCUUCUUCUUUUUGUAGAAUCUUCUCUUCUUUUGUAGGGUGCCGUACACUCAUUUGAAUAGUGUCCGGGUCUCCCACAAUUGUAGCAGUUUCACUCUCGACUAGAAGAUCUUUUGUCAUUGUAGGACCUUGACUUAGAGCUUCUUUCUCUGCUUCUACUCUUGUAGAAUUUGUUGAAGUUCUUCACCAUUAAGCUCAAUUCUUCAUUGAAGGUUUGUUUCUCACUUGAUGAUGUAGGAGCUUCACAUGAGGCUUUGUAAGCACCACUUGACUUGUUGUGAAGUUCCUCCUUAUCCUUGAGUGACAUCUCAUGAGCAACAAUUUUGCCAAUUACUUCCGUUGGCUGGAGAUUCUUGUAGUUGGGCAUCAUUUGAAUCAAUGUGCACAUGGUAUCAUAUUUCCCAUCCAAUGCUCUUAGGAUCUUCUUGAUGAUGAAUCUGUCGGUCAUCUCUUCACUCCCUAAGCCGACAAUCUCAUUUGUGAUAAGAGCAAGCCUAGAGUACAUUUCAGCAACACCUUCACCAUCCUUCAUUUUGAACUUGUCAAGCUGACUUUGGAGCACAUCCAACUUGGAUUCCUUAACGUAGUCGGUACCUUCAUGCAUAUCAAUCAAAGUAUCCCAAAUUUCCUUUGCAUUCUCAAGACGACUGAUUUUGUUGAAUUCUUCGGGGCACAAGCCAUUGAAGAGGAUAUCACAAGCUUGAGCAUUGUAUUGCAACAUCUUCAAUUCAUCCGGAUUAGCUUCACGGUUCGGCUCUCUCCCAUCAAAGAAUUCACCUUGCAAGCCAAUACAAAUAAUAGCCCACACGGCGGGGUUAUGUCCGAGAAUAUGCAUUUUCAUCUUAUGCUUCCAACUAGCAAAAUUAGUACCAUCAAAGUAAGGACCUCUACGGUGAUAAUUUCCCUCGCUAGAGGCCAUACUCUCCUAGGUUGUGAAACCAAGGCUAUGACCACCAAAAGCUAUGGAAAUCAAAGCAAAUGGAGACCAAGGCUCUGAUACCACUUGUAGGACCUUGAAGUAUGUCUAGAGGGGGGGUGAUUAGACUACUUGACCAAUUAAAAACUUAACCUUUUCCCAAUUUUAGACUUUGGCAGAUUUUAGCUAUCUUUGGAUAAGUCAAGCAAUCAUCACACAAUUCAAGCAAGCAUGCAAAGAGUAUAUAGGCAGCGGAAAUUGAAGCAUGCAACUUGCAAGAAAGUAAAGGGAAGGGUUUAGAGGAUUCAAACGCAAUUGGAGACACGGAUGUUUUUGGCGUGGUUCCGAUAGGUGGUGCUAUUGUACAUCCACGUUGACGGAGACUUCAACCAACAAAGGGUAACGGCUGCGCGAGUCCACGGAGGGCUCCACCCAAGAAGGGUCCACGAAGAAGCAACCUUGUCUAUCCCACCAUGGCCGUCGCCCACGAAGGACUUGCCUCACUAGCGGUAGAUCUUCACGAAGUAGGCGAUCUCCUUGCCCUUACAAACUCCUUGGUUCAACUCCACAAUCUUGUCGGAGGCUCCCAAAUGACACCUAGCCAAUCUAGGAGACACCACUCUCCAAGAAGUAACAAAUGGUGCGUUGAUGAUGAACUCCUUGCUCUUGUGCUUCAAAUGAUAGUCUCCCCAACACUCAACUCUCUCUCAUAGGAUUUGGAUCUAGUGGAAAUAAGAUUUGAGUGGAAAGCAACUUGGGGAAGGCUAGAGAUCAAGAUUCAUAUGGUUGGAAUGGAAUAUCUUGGCCUCAACACAUGAGUAGGUGGUUUUCUCUCAGAACUGAUAAGUUGGAAGUGUAGGUUUGUUCUGAUGGCUCUCUCCACGAAUGAAGAGGAGGUGGAGGGGUAUAUAUAGCCUCCACACAAAAUCUAACCGUUACACACAAUUUAUCAAUUUCGGUGGGACCAAAUCAUCAAACUCCGUCGGACCGAUUAGUAAACCUAGUGACCUUUAGGAUUUUCGGUGGGACCGACAUGCAACUCGGUAGGACCGAUAUGGUUAGGGUUAGGGCAUAACGUAAUCUCGGUGAGACCGAUUACACAAACUCGGUGAGACCGAUUUUCGUAAUUAGCUAACCAGAGAGUUGGUCAGGUGAACUCGGUGGGACCGACUCGCUCUUUUCGGUGAGACCGAAAUGUUACAGAAGGGAAACAGAGAGUUUACAUUGCAAUCUCGGUGGGACCGAUCGCUCACUUCGGUUAGACCGAAACAUUACGAAGGGAAACAGAGAGAUUACAAUCCCAUCUCGGUGAGACCGAGAUCCCUAUCGGUGAGACCGAUUUGCCUAGGGUUUGUGGCAGUGGCUAUGACAUCUGAACUCGGUGGCGCCGGAUAGAAAGAAUCGGUAUGACCGAUUUUGACUUUAGGUUUAGGUCAUAUGUCGAUGUGAGAAAGUAGUUGAGGGUAUUUGGAGCAUAUCGCUAAGCACUUGAAGCAAGAGCCUCAUUAAGCAACACCUCAUCCCUCCUUGAUAGUAUUGGCUUUUCCUAUAGACUCAAUGUGAUCUUGGAUCACUAAAAUGUAAAAUGAAGAGUCUUGAGCUUUUGAUCUUGAGUCAAUCCUUUGUCCUUGAUAUUUUGAGGGAUCCACUUUCAUCAUCCAUGCCAUGCCAUUCAUUGAGCUUUCCUGAAAUAAUAGUCUUGGAAUAGCAUUAGCUCAAUGAGCUAUAUGUUGUUAUGAAUUACCAAAACCACCUAGGGAUAGUUGCAAUUUCAAAUACCUCCCGCUAAAACUCAAGGGACCUGCUCGACACUGGUUGAACAGUUUGCCCGAAAACUCAAUUGGCAGUUGGGAAGACUUGGAAGACGCCUUCCUCAAAAACUUCUAGGGUACAUAUGUCCGACCUCCGGAUGCCGACGACUUAAGUCACAUAGUUCAACAGCUCGAAGAGUUAGCCAGGAAAUUCUGGACUAGGUUCUUAACUAAAAAGAACCAAAUCAUCGACUGUCCGGAUGCCGAAGCCCUAGCGGCCUUUAAACAUAGCAUCCGUGACGAAUGGCUCGCCCGACACCUCGGCCAAGAAAAGUCGAAGUCUAUGGCAGCCCUCACGACGCUUAUGACCCGCUUCUGCAUGGGCGAACCUGGCACUUCUGAAGCCAGAAAUAGCAAUGGCAAGCCCCGUCGCAACCGACACAAGCAUUGAAGCAACGAUGACAACACCGAGGACACGACGGUCAACGACGGAUUCAGUGGCUCUAAGUCUGGUCAGCGGAAGAAGCCAUAUAAAAGAACAAUCUAGGCUCGUCCAGCUUGGACCGCAUACUCGAUCGUCCAUGUCAAAUCCACGACACUCCUGAUAAACCAGCCAAUCAUAUCAACAAAGACUGUUGGGUUUUUAAACAGGCCGGCAAGUUAAAUGCCGAGAACAAGGAGAAGGGGUCACAAAGCAAGGACGAUGACGAGGAGCCCUAGCCACCGAACACAGGGGGNNNNNNNNNNNNNNNNNNNNNNNNNNNNNNNNNNNNNNNNNNNNNNNNNNNNNNNNNNNNNNNNNNNNNNNNNNNNNNNNNNNNNNNNNNNNNNNNNNNNNNNNNNNNNNNNNNNNNNNNNNNNNNNNNNNNNNNNNNNNNNNNNNNNNNNNNNNNNNNNNNNNNNNNNNNNNNNNNNNNNNNNNNNNNNNNNNNNNNNNNNNNNNNNNNACAUGAUAUACGCUACCCAUAUCCCCAAGAGGGAGCGCAAGCACGCGCUCAGGGACGUCUACACGAUGGAGCCAGUCGCCCCAAAGUUCAACCCAUGGUCGUCCUUCCCGAUCACCUUCGAUCGCAGGGACCAUCCGACCAGUAUCCGUCAUGGCUGUUUAGCCACACUGGUCCUCGACCCAAUCAUUGAUGGAUUCCAUCUUACGCGAGUCCUCAUGGACGGUGGUAGCAGUCUGAACCUGCUCUAUUAGGAUACAGUGUGCAAAAUGGGUAUUGACCCCUCAAGGAUCAAGCCCAAAAAACCACCUUUAAAGGUGUCAUACCAGGUGCAGAGGCCCGCUGUACGGGCUCAAUCACACUGGAGGUGGUCUUCAAAUCCCCGGACAACUUCCGAAGCGAAGAGUUGAUCUUCGAUAUCGUCCCCUUCCGUAGUGGAUAUCACGCACUGCUCGGACAAACUGCAUUCUCUUGAUUCAAUGCGGUGCUGCACUACGCUUAUCUCAAGCUCAAGAUGCCUGGACAGUUGUGUCAUAACAGUCAAUGGAAACACGGAACACUCCCUCCGUACCGUGGAGCACACCGCUGCCCUUGCAGUAGAAGCACAGAGCGGCCUUUUCAGGCAGAACCUUAAUUUGGCGGCCAAGCUCCUGGACACUGUCAAACGAGUCCAAACUACUCUGCUGCAGGACAGUCCAGCUCGUCAAGAGCUUGACUAGCAAUUCGGCUUGCGUCCCAGUCCCGACCAAACGGUGGCAUUCGUACUGCGCGCACAUAACUACAACAACAACAACAAAGCCUUUAGUCCCAAACAAGUUGGGGUAGGCUAGAGGUGAAACCCAUAAGAUCUCGCAACCAACUCAUGGCUCUGGCACAUGGAUAGCAAGCUUCCACGCACCCCUGUCCAUAGCUAGCUCUUUGUCGAUACUCCAAUCCUUCAGGUCUCUCUUAACGGACUCCUCCCAUGUCAAAAUCGGUCGACCCCGCCCUCUCUUGACAUUCUCCGCAUGCUUUAGCCAUCCGCUGUGCACUGGAGCUUCUGGAGGCCUGCGCUGAAUAUGCCCAAACCAUCUCAAACGAUGUUGGACAAGCUUCUCCUCAAUUGGUGCUACCCCAACUCUAUCUCGUAUAUCAUCAUUCCUGACUCGAUCCUUCCUCGUGUGGCCACACAUCCAUCUCAACAUACGCAUCUCCGCCACACCUAACUGUUGAACAUGUCGCCUUUUAGUCGGCCAACACUCCGCGCCAUACAACAUUGCGGGUCGAACCGCCGUCCUGUAGAACUUGCCUUUUAGCUUUUGUGGCACUCUCUUGUCACAGAGAAUGCUAGAAGCUUGGCGCCACUUCAUCCAUCCGGCUUUGAUUCGAUGGUUCACAUCUUCAUCAAUACCCCCAUUCUCCUACAACAUUGACCCCAAAUACCGAAAGGUGUCCUUCUGAGGUACCACCUGGCCAUCAAGGCUAACCUCCUCCUCCUCACAGCUAGUAGUACUGAAACCGCACAUCAUGUACUCGGUUUUAGUUCUACUAAGCCUAAACCCUUUCGAUUCCAAGGUUUGUCUCCAUAACUCUAACUUCCUAUUUACCCCCGUCCGACUAUCGUCAACUAGCACCACAUCAUCCGCAAAGAGUAUACACCAUGGAACGCACUCAAAAUACCAUGGGCACAGACGGAGGCACAACUAGACCGUGGUCCAUAAUACGGCUCAACCUCCCCUGGACCCACAUACUUUCACUUUUUUUUCCAGGUUUCUUUUUUCCCAGGCCUUUCCUGGUGGCCAGAUUAUCGGACCUAUCAAGGGACGGAUACACCAAGAUAGCAAGAAGCACUGACGUAUAAGGGAAUUUCCAGGUGGUCUCUUUAAACGAUCGUUAUGCCUGUUUUAAGGACCCGCACGCAGCCUCCCUUGGUCAUGGCAUGUUAAAUAUCACUGUUGCUUAUCGCACUACUUGUACACGCUUUGACGUAUUAAUCAAACUACAAUGGAAAAUAGUUUGCGGCCCUAAUUCUGCGGCAUUAGCCUAUUACUUCAUUUUUCUUGAUAUUCUUAUCAAUUGCACCCAUACACUCUGGUACGCCUUAACUCUCCAGGGGCUUCAUUACGCUCCAUAAUACGGCAACAAAGUCAGAACAAUUUUUACUGUAUAGUUCGACAUCCUAAACUUUAGCAUUAUAUGCAUCGACUCCGAAUCAUGUCUUUGGUCAAUAGUUCGGUUGCCCGGCUCCUGUGCUUACUACCUUAUGUUCCGCUAUAUCGGCUAGGGUAGUAAAGGGAGAACUACUACGAUUGUGUCCUGGUUUAUCCGGAUGAGCACCCCAGUAGAGAAAGCCGAAAACUGACUGUUAUGAUGCGGCGUGAGCCGGUCAGCUGUUCGAGAGGUUACAAAUCUUUUGUGAUUUUUCCCGCAUUAUGCGAUGAAUCGGUUUUUAUCCGAUCAGGUGUUUAUAGCACCCCAAGUUCGGACUUACGAAUACUAGGGGUUGUGCCUAAAAUUUCUAUUGUCAAGCUCCUAUGGCUAAGUGAGGGUGAUAAAGCCACAUAGUCCGAUUGCCUGGUUCGUUGCGCUAAACACCUCCUUUAAGGACCAAAACUUUGGGAUAAAGAGUGUUUAGAUUCAUCCGAACACCCCCGUACUGCCUACAUGGGGGCUGAAGCCAACGACUGGCCACCUCUUAGAUUUAACAAAACGGCCGGACAGGAGGUAAAUUUUUAAAUAACAUGCAUUAUAUUACAUAACGGCUCUGUUUCAUAAUACAGGAAAGGACAAUAUGAAUGACUUCAUUCAAAGAUAAUGUAUUUUGAACACUGCCCCGCCACAAUGUGGGAUCCCUCCAGGACAUUGUCAAAAUACAGCUCGGGCGUGCGGUGCUCCUUGCCAGCGGGCGGUCCUUCCGUUGCGAGCUUGACGGCAUCCAUCUUCACCCACUAAACUUUAACAUGGGUGAAGGCCAUCCGCUCGCCUUCGAUGCAGACCGACCGCUUGAUGGCAUCCAGCUGGGGCAGGCAUUGACCAGCCGCUUCAUGAGCCCGAAGUAGCUGCUGGGUAUGGCUUCGGCAGGCCAUAGCUGGAUUAUUAAAUCCUUCAUGGCUAGUUCAACCACCCUAUACAGUUCAACCAACUGUUUUAGCUGAUCGCUAAAGGGCACCGGAGGUUCUGGCGCAAGGUAUUGCGACCAAAACAGCUUCUCCGUGGAGCUCCCCUCUUCGGCUCGGAAGAACCCUGCAGUGUCUAAAACGCUAUGCGGCAGAUCCGCAAACGCCCCUCGAGAACUCCAAAUAUGGGUGAGUAAGAGGAACCUUUUCUUCACGUAUUUACUCUGCAUAAUAAAGGCCUUACCCGCCGCGAUUUUUCUGGCCUACUGGAUUUCUUGGAGGGCGCCCUGGGCUUCAACCCGGGCAUCAUGUGCGCUUUGGCGGGCCUUGGCAAGUUCGGACUCUUGAUCCGCAAUGUUGCGCUCCAAGGACUCACAUUUCUUCACGGCGUCCUGGAGCUCCUGCUGGACCUCACCGACCUUGGCCUCAUGCUUUUCAUGGGAGGCUUGUUCCUUGGCCGCUCUCUCCUCGGCCUCGGCCAGCGCCUUCUUGAGGGUGUCCACCUCAGUCGCCUCCCCUAAUAAAUAUCAUGGCACUUUAGUCAGCACAAAUCAUUCAUCCUUCCUGAAUAUAGACAAGGUUAUGGCAUACCUUGAUUGUCUUCCAGGUGUUUCUUCACACGGCCGAGCUAUUCCUCGGUCCGCUCCAUACUCUACUUCAGUCUGGAGACCUCAGCAGCAUGAGAGGUCGCAGCCAGCAACGACGCCUGCUUAUUCACAUAGACAUGUCAGGUUAGUCUCCUGCGAAAAUUAUUUGAUCCUUUGUUCGGCUUUUUUUUCGAACAUCGGACAGAGUCUCAGGGGCUACUGUCUAUACUAUCACAUCCUUUUUAUAAUUGUGUCGCUCACCUCAAAACCUGUUAGAAGGCUGGUAUAGGCGUCGGUCAGUCUGCUCUUAACGAACUGCACCCUCUCAAUCACCGUACCCAUAAGGAUACGGUGUUCCUCAACAAUGGAAGCGCCUUGCAGCGCUUCCAGCAAAUUAUCCGGUGCCUCUGGAUGGACAGAGGUCACCGGUGGAAUAGGCGCACCUCCUUCUUUCGAAAGAGGUUGCUUGCCUGAUUCCGGAGCCGUAUAGGUCUCCGAAAUUGUAUUCGGCUGGGGGCCGAAUUGGAUAUGGCUCCCAUUGUCAGUGUCCAUGGGGAUUUGCUCCCCCAUGUGUCCGGCGGCCGAGGUUUCACCCUCUGGCGCUGCUUUGACGACCUCCCGCGUCUCUCCCUGGCCCGGGGUCCUUCGGGACAACACCUCGGUAUCAUCCAUGGACUUGGGAGAGGAUGCCACCGGAAGGGACCCGUUGUCCAUCACCUUCGGGUCCAGCGAAUUCCCCAUUGAUGAGGAUCGCUGGUGGACCGAAUGGGCCGGGCUGCAGCACAUGAUUUGACAUAUUAAAACCAUGAAGGAAAAGGGCCGGAUAUAUGAGUGCAUCUUUGAGUACUUACGAUUCGGCUAGGGGCUUAUCCUUGGGGCGCCAUUCCGAGCUGCUGUCGGAGUCCGCUGUGGAGUUGUUCGGGAGGGAAGCCUUCCCCUUUUUCGACGCUUUGGCCUCCAAACGUGUGGAGGCCGUCCUUUUCUUCCUUCCCUCCUCAGGGGGGAUGACUUUCUUCUUCUUCCUCCUCUUCCUUGUCGUCCUCGGCGACGGAGGAAUGAGUCUUGGUGUCUCCGGACGUCACGUCCGAAGUGCCCUUAUGACGGAGGCCACCUCUAGUCUCCUUGGCCUUCUUCUUGGCCUUCUUCUCCGGUGACUGAUAGGGAGCCGAAACCAGCAUCUUCGUCAGAAGUGGAAUUGCUGGGUCUUCAGGCAGCGGAGCCGGACAGUGAAUCCGCUCCGCCUUCUUUGUCCAGCCCUGAGAGAAUCAGUAGGGAGGCUUAGGCGUCUUCCUCGAGUAUGCAAGUAAAGGAUACACCUUGAAAACAUGAAAAAACUUACCGGGUUAGCGGGAUGGGCCAAAUCGUGCCCACGGUCCUCGGCCAUACCCGGCCACGUCUUGUUGGACUUGAAAAGCACCUUCCAGAUGUCUUCGUGCAUAGUGCCGAAGAAGUGAAGCAAUGUCUGGUGCUUGGCCGGAUCGUACUCCAACAAAUGGCAAGUCUGGCUUUGGCACGGAAGGAUCUGACGAACAAGCAUCACUUGGAUCACAUUGACAAGCUUGAUAUUCUUGUCUAUCAUGCUCCUGAUGCGCGUCUGAAGCGCCGUCAGCUCGUCCGACAAAGACCAGUCCAUGCCCUUCUCUAGCCAGCAAGUGGUGUCGCGCGGCUCUGUGACGUAGAACCACUGCUUUUGCCACCCUUUGACGGUCUCCAUGAAGGUGCCUAUUGGCCAUGUGGCGCUGGGCAUCUUGCUCACCAUGGCGCCUUCACACUCCAUGUGUUGACUGCCCACGACCUUCGGCUUCACAUUGAAGAUCUUUAACCAUAAUCCGAAGUGGGGUGGGAUGCGGAGGAAGGCCUCGCACAUGACAAUGAAUGCCGAGAUGUUGAGGAAGGAGUUGGGGGCCAGAUCAUGGAAAUCCAGCCCAUAGUAGAACAUGAGUCCGCGGACGAACGGGUGGAGAGGAAAUCCCAACCCGCGGAUGAAGUGGGGGGGGGGAUGAAUACUACCCUCUCAUGGGAUCCGGGGUGGGGACAAUCUGUCCCUUGGUCGGAAGCCGGUGGGCGAUUUCCUUGGCCAAAUACCUAGCUUCCCAAAGAUUGGUAAUGUCCUUCUCCUUAACAGAGGAGGCUAUCCACUUGCCCUGUGCUCCAGAUCCGUACAUGGUUGGAGUGCUCUCUUGGGGCGGAAAAGAUGAGAACUUGGGCGCUGGAGCUCGAGAAUGGGGGAGGCAGAGAGAGAGAAGGCGUGGGUGAAGGGGGUGAAUCCUUAUCUCUUUAUAAAGGCAGUGAAUAUCAAGCGCCUCCCCACUCGCCCUAAAAGCUUGCCUACUCCCAAGGGCCAUGCAGACGAUACAGUGGGAUUACCCAUGCCCGUAUUAAUGAGAAUCCCGCAAUAAGGGGACAUGAUCUCUGCUUUGACAAGACAUGCCAAUGAAACCGCAUCUCAAAAUAUGGAGCGGCAGGUGAUGAAGCUAUGUACCUAGGGUAGGGUCAUGGACCAGUCCAAACUACCCUACCCAAGGACAUCUCUAGAAUAAAUCACCUGUCAAUCGACUCAGAAGUGUUCCACUCGACAGACUCGAAGACACUCGACCAUGAAUCCAACCACUCGACCAUGAAGCCAUCCACUCGACAGUGAGGAGACCUAAAGUCACUCUGCACGCCAACGGUCGGUCAUUAAGUAGCUUUUAUGGUCAUCAAAGCGCUUUAUGUGUAGCGUUACCAGUAACGCCCAAUCUUAAUGUAACUUAAACCCUGCAUAACUGAGGGUCGGAGGGGUCUGGCGGACUCUAUAUAAGCCACCCCCUCCUCAGUGUAAAGGGUUCGCACCCCUGUAACUCAUACGCAUAUAAUCCAGUCGACCGCCUCUGGGCUCUAAGACGUAGGGCUGUUACUUCCUCCGAGAAGGGCAUGAACUCGUAAACCUCUUGCGUAUACAACUACUCCAUAGCUAGGAUCUUGCCUCUCCAUACCUACCCUCUUUCUAUUGUCAGACUUAGAACCACGACAGUUGGCGCCCACCUUGGGGCAGGUGUCUUAGCGACUUAUUGGAGAAGUUGCAAUUUUUUCUGAUCUCCUUCAUCAUGGUUUCAGGUGGAGUUUUGGUUGAGGGCCGUGAGAUCCGUCUCGGCGCGCUCACGUUCGCCGCCGACGACUCUGUUUGGUUGCAGGAGGCUCCGCUCGACAUCGAUGCGCUCCCAGUCUGUGGAGCAACGCACUUUCGUGCGUGCGUCUGCGGCGUCCUCUUGCAGCAACUGUCGACCCAGUAUCGGUCGGUCGUUGUGUCGUCCUCCGUCCCUGCUUCCCGCCGGCGCAAGUGCUCCGGUCGGUCGAGGCUUCAGUGGUGGGUGAGAAACGCGGUGGCUCGCCAGUCGGCCACCCCCCAAGUCGCGGCAAUCGAGCUCGACGAAUCUCUCUACGGCCUGUUCGACUGGCUCCGCAGAGACUGCAUCCGAGUGUGACAACAAUGAUCCAGCAGUGGAAGUUCUGAUGGUCGAUGGACCACGCGGUCCUCCCGGUUUUCCCGGCACCGAAGGAGGUGACGGCGGAGGCGAUCCGUCGCAUGCCCAUGAAGAGUAUCGCCCCGGGCCACUCACUUCGCUGCAGAGCGAAGAUCUUCGCCGCCGGAACAUGGAUGCGCUACACACUCCUAUUGUUGGAGAAACCCCCGAGGCUCGGGCCUUAGAGGAUGCGCGCUUGGCUAACUUAGCUGAGCGCACUCGACUGGAGAACCUUUAGCGAGCACUCGACGAGCGUGCGCGGGAAUGGGUUCCGGCAUCCAGUCGACGUAAACUCUUCCCAGCAUCGACUCAGGUAUAUCGAACUCCGAUCCAGAAUUUAGCAACUGCAGCCCGUAUAGCAGAGUCGAUUCAGCCUUCCCAAUCAGAGGCUGGCAGAGGCUUGUUGCAGAUCAGAGAUUUACUCCGGGCAGCAGGGGAUCAAAACUCAGCUGCAUCGCAGUCGCGGAAUAGGAUCCACAGCAGAUCCAUCGCUGCGAAUACAGUCUAGUCGGCCCAUUGUCCAAGAUCGCCCCCGAGGCGUGAGGAACAUGGAGACUGGCAUGAUCAGUACAAGAACCAUGAGCAGUAUGAUCACCGAAUGGAUCGCGAUGAUCGACGUCGAGUGCCCACCCCUCCCCCAAGGGGUGGAUCGUAUGCGCCUCGACAGCAGGAUGAUAGAUGCCAGCACAGUGUUGGGCGAAGGAUUCCAGUCGACCCCAGGGAACCCGGCUUUGAUGCGAGAUCCAUUAUCGUUCAAGGUAUGGUCGAUAGGAACAGAGCUCACCGAGAGGGUCACGACAGAGAUAUACCCACCAGCAGCAGAGUGCACGUCUCAGGACCAGUGUGUUUCAGCAGAGCCAUCAGGGCCGCAGUGAUUCCUCCGAAAUUCAGGUUGGCGACUGGAGUCAGUAUGUUCACUGGUGAGUCCAAGCCUGAUACUUGGCUUGAAGACUACCGAGUGGCUGUUCAGAUUGGCGGCGGCAAUGAUGAGGUGGCCAUGAAACAUCUGCCUGUUAUGUUGGGGGGCUCGGCCAGAGCAUGGUUGAAUCAGUUGGCACCCAGCAGCAUUUACACGUGGGAAGAUCUUUUCCGAGUGUUUGUCAGAACGUUUGAAGGAACAUGCAAGCGACCAGCAGGACUGACAGAGCUGCAAACUUGUGUGCAGAAGUCGAAUGAGACUUUGAGAGAUUACAUCCAGAGAUGGAUCACAUUGCAUCACACGGUAGAGAAUGUAUCUGAUCACCAGGCAGUCUGUGCCUUCAAGGAAGGUGUUAGGUACAGAGAGUUAAACUUGAAAUUCCGUCGAACCGGAGACAUGACUCUGAGUCGAAUGAUGGAGACUGCCACCAAGUAUGCCAAUGGUGAAGAAGAGGAUCGGCUCCGGAGUGGGAAGCACAAGUCAGUCACCCACGAAACCGGAGGAGGGAACUCCAGUCGGAAGCAAAAGCGGAAAGCCGAGCCAGCUGCUCCCGGAGAAGCCCUGGCCGUGAAUCAAGGAAAGUUUAAAGGGAAGCCUAAAGGGCCUUGGAACCCCAAGAAGGUAAAUGACAAGGAAGGAAAUGACGUGAUGGAUUUGCCGUGCCACAUCCACACGAAGAAAGAUGAAGAGGGUAACUUCAUUUACCCGAAACAUACCACUCGACAGUGUCGGCUCUUGAUCCAGCAAUUCCAAGGGAAACAGCUCAAAGAUAAGGAAAAGGAGUCGGACAAAGUUGAGGACAAGGAGGACAGUGAUGAGGAAUAUCCCUAUGUCAAUUCCACUCUGGUGAUUUUUGCUGACGUUUAGAGCAAAAGUCGAUUGAAAGUUAUCAACCAAGAAGUGAAUAUGGUGGCUCCGGAGACACCCAAUUAUCUAAAAUGGUCUCAGACUGCCAUCAUGUUCGACCAGUCUGAUCACCCGAUACACAUAGCCACCCCUGGGAGGCAAGCUCUGGUGGUUGACCCAGUCGUCGAAGGCACUCGACUGAAGAAAGUGUUGAUGGAUGGUGGCAGUAGCUUGAAUAUACUGUACGCAGAGACACUGAAAGGGAUGGGCAUUCCGAUGUCCAGACUCAGUACCAGCAACAUGAGUUUCUAUGGAGUCAUUCCUGGCAAGAAGGCUGCGUCACUCAGCCAGAUUGCUCUUGAUGUGGUUUUCGGUGAUUCCAAAAAUUUCCGCAAAGAAAAGUUGACAUUUGAAGUUGUGGAUUUCCAAAGCGCCUAUCACGCUAUUUUGGGCAGGCCAGCUUAUGCACGUUUUAUGGCUCGACCAUGUUACAUGUACCUCAAAUUGAAGAUGCCUGGCCCCAAAGGUGUGAUCACUGUUACUGGCAAUCGGAAGAAGGCAGAAGAGUGCUUUUAGAAAGGCUCAAAGAUCACCGAUGCUCAGAUGGUAGCAGAAGAGUGGCAGGAACACCAGAAAAAUGCAGACCCGAGUGAUUUGUUGCGAGCUAAGAAGCCUGCUACGGAAUCAGCGUUUCAGUCGUCCGGUCAGACAAAACCGGUUCACAUUCACCCGAAUGACCCCAAUGCUGCUCCGACUAAUAUCUCCACAACGCUCGACUCCAAAUAGGAAGAAGCGCUCAUCUAGUUCCUCCAUGAGAACUAGGACAUCUUCGCAUGGAAACCUUCUAACAUGUCGGGUGUUCCCAGGGGGCUGGCUGAGCACCAUCUACGAGUCGACUCAAAAGCGAAACCUGUUAAAGAACAUCUGCGACGGUCCGCCAUCCAGAAAAGGAAGGCCAUUGGCGAGGAGGUGGCUCGGCUCUUAGCGGCAGAGUUUAUCUGAGAAAUUUACCACUCUGAGUGGCUCGCCAAUGUUGUCAUGGUCCCAAAGAAGGACAAGUCUCUUCGCAUGUGCAUUGACUUUAAACAUAUCAAUCGGGCCCGCCCGAAAGAUCAUUUCCCUCUCCCCCGCAUCGACCAAAUAGUCGACUCGACUGCGGGAUGUGAGCGACUAUCUUUCUUAGACGCCUAUUCCGGGUACCAUCAGAUCCGUCUGUAUGGACCUGAUGAGAUCAAAACAACUUUCAUCACCCCAUUCGGGUGCUUCUGUUACGUCACCAUGCCAUUCGGCCUCAAGAAUGCCGGAGCCACGUUCAUGAGGAUGAUUCAGAAGUGUUGGCUCACUCAAAUCAGUCGUAUUGUGGAAGCGUACAUGGAUGAUAUUGUGGUCAAGUCAUGGAAAGGUUUCGACCUGCUGAUUGACCUUGCUGAAACAUUUGCCAACCUCAGGAGGUAUGAUAUCAAGCUUAAUCCAUCAAAGUGCACAUUCGGAGUUCCUGGCGGAAAAUUACUUGGUUUCUCGUUUCCGAACGAGGAAUCGAUGCAAAUCCAGAGAAAGUAGGCACUAUAAUCCGAAUGAAACAACCUGUGCGUGUGCACGAUGUUCAGAAGCUUACUGGUUGCUUGGUUGCUUUAAGUCGAUUCAUCUCUCGUCUCGGUGAAAAGGCAUUGCCUCUUUACCGACUGAUGAAGAAGUCAGACAAGUUCGAGUGGACUCCUGAAGCUGAUGCAGCGUUUGUAGAGCUAAAAGCCCUGCUUUCCACCCAGCCGGUGCUUGCUGCCCCGAUCAGCAAAGAGCCUUUGCUGCUUUACAUUGCAGCCACAUGACAAGUCGUUAGUACAGUACUUACGGUCAUGCGGGAAGAAGAAGGAAAAGCCUUUAAAGUUCAGCACCCAGUAUAUUAUAUUUCUGAAGUUCUGACCCCAUCAAAGCAAAGAUACCCUCAUUAUCAGAAGUUUGUAUAUGGGAUUUAUAUGACCACGAAGAAAGUUGCUCAUUACUUCUCUGACCAUACUAUUACAGUCGUCAACGACGCCCCAUUGUCAGAGAUUUUGCAUAACAGAGAUGCAACUGGUCGAGUGGCAAAAUGGGCGAUUGAACUCCUUCCCCUGGAUAUCAGAUUUGAGGCAAAGAAAGCUAUCAAGUCCCAGGCAAUAGCAGAUUUCAUCGCUGAGUGGACUGAACAGCAACUGCCGACUCAAGUUCACUCGGAGCACUGGACCAUGUUCUUUGACGGCUCUAAGAUGCUGAAUGGUUCCGGUGCUGGGGUAGUGUUGGUUUCCCCCCGAGGAGAUAAGCUCAGAUAUGUACUCCAGAUUCACUUUGAUUCCUCCAACAAUGAAGCAGAAUAUGAAGCACUUCUGUAUGGGUUGCGUAUGGCCAUUUCACUCGGCGUCCGUAGCCUCAUGGUCUACGGCGACUCAGAUUUGGUGGUUAACCAAGUGAUGAAGGAGUGGGACGCCAGAAGCCCCACCAUGACUGGUUACUGCAAUGCAGUAAGAAAGCUAGAGAAGAAAUUCGAGGGGUUAGAGCUUCAUCAUAUACCCCGACUGAAAAAUCAAGCAGCUGAUGAUUUGGCAAAAAUAGGUUCCAAGAGAGAAGCCAUUCCUAGUGGUGUGUUUUUGGAACAUAUCCACACACUGUCAGUUCAAGAGGAUCCUUUUACCGAAGAAGCCCCGCAGCCAAAAAGUGCCACGGAUCCGACUGAAGUCGAGGUCCCAGCCGUGGUCGACUUAAUCAUGGAAGUCUUGGUCAUCACUCCCGACUGGACAGUGCCGUACAUCGCGUAUAUCCUAAGGAAAGAGAUCCCAGAGAACAAAGAAGAGGCUCGACAGAUCGUCCGUCGAUCCAAGGCCUUUACUGUGAUGAAGGGACAGUUGUACAGAGAAAGCGCGACUGGAGCCAGUCAGAAAUGUAUAACGCUAGAAGAAGGUCGGAUAAUUCUUAACGAUAUCCACUUUGGGUCCUGUGGCCACCAUGCAUCCUCUCGGACCAAUGUGGCUAAAGCAUACCGAGCGGGAUUUUACUGGCCCAGAGCAAAUGAAAUGGCGAAAGAGAUAGUCGACAAGUGUGAAGGAUGUCAGUUCUAUUCCAAUAUGUCACACAAGCCCGCCUCAGCUUUGAAGACCAUUCCAAUCGUCUGGCCCUUCGCUGUCUAGGGACUAGAUAUGGUUGGGCCACUGAGAACUGGCAGGAGCGGCUUCACCCAUGUACUGGUGGCAGUCGACAAGUUCACUAAGUGGAUCGAAGCCAAGCCUAUCAAGAAUCUUGAUGCCGGCACCUCUAUCAGCUUCAUCAGAGAGUUAAUAUUCAGAUAUGGAGUUCCACAUAGCAUCAUCACUGAUAAUGUGUAAAACUUCGAUUCCGACCAAUUCAAAGCCUUUUGCGCUUCUCAAGGCAUACGAGUCGACUACGCUUCCGUCGCUCACCCCCAGUCGAAUGGACAAGCAGAAAUUUCUAACGGCCUAAUUCUCAAAGGACUAAAACCCCGUUUGAUGCGUGAUCUCAAACACGCAACAGGCGCGUGGGUCGACGAAAUUCCAUCAGUUCUUUGGGGAUUGAGGACUACUCCUAAUCGGUCGACUGGAUGAACUCCGUUCUUUCUGGUCUAUGGAGCCGAAGCAGUUCUGCCGAGUGAUCUACUUCACAAUGCACCUCGAGUUGAGCUCUACUCUGAAGUUGAAGCAGAACAAGCCUGGCAUGACGCAGUCGACCUUUUAGAAGAAGAAAGAGAGAUGGCCAUGAUCCGAUCGACCAUCUAUCAGCAAGAUUUGCGUCGAUUCCAUGCCAGAAACGUGAAGUGUCGGGCCUUCCAAGAAGGAGACUUGGUCCUCCGAGUGGAUCAACAAAAGCCACACAAACUUGCCCCUACUUGGGAAGGUCCCUUCAUUGUCACCAAAGUUCUCCACAAUGGAGCAUACUGUCUUUACAAUGUCGAUCGCCAGAUUGAUGAGCCUCGAGCUUGGAAUGCAGACCUGCUCCGCUCGUUCUCACUCGGAUGAGAUGUAAUAAAAGUACUCCUGUAGUUUGUUUGUCAAAGACAAAAGUGUUAUAAUUUUCCCAUUGAUUGUUGUUGCUUUUGUUUAUAUGAGAAAUCCCCCAGUGGGUGUCUUAGUUGCGAAUCCGUUUCGCUUAAGUUUGUAAAUUUUUUUCCUACCGAGUGACGAGCAACCCUCUGACUCGGAGACUUAGCUGCGAAUCCGUUUCGCCUAAGUAUUUGAAAAUCCUACCGAGUGGCAAGUCCGCGUGCCACUCGGGGGCUUAGCUGCGAAUCCGUUUCGCCUAAGUGUUUGAAAUCCUACUGAGUGGAGAGCGAACCUCCCACUCGGGGGCUUAGCUGCAGUCCAGUACUCGCCUAAGUGUUUGAAAUCUUACCGAGUGGAGAGUGAACCUCCCACUCGGGGGCUUAGUUGCAGUCCAGUACUCGCCUAAGUGUUUGAAAUCCUACCGAGUGGCGAGUCCGCCUCCCACUCGGAGGCUUAGCUGCGAAUCCGUUUCGCCUAAGUGUUUGAAAUCCUACCGAGUGGAGAGCAAACCUCCCACUCGGGGGCUUAGCUGCAGUCCAGUACUCGCCUAAGUGUUUGAAAUCCUACCAAGUGGUGAGUCUGCCUCUCACUCGAGGGCUUAGCUGCAGUCCAGUACUCGCCUAAGUGUUUGAAAUCCUACCGAGUGGAGAGCAAACCUCCCACUCGGAGGCUUAGAAGCAGUCCAAUACUCGCCUAAGUAAUUGAAAUCCUACCGAGUGGAGAGCGAACCUACCACUCGGAGGCUUAGCUGCAGUCCAGUACUCGCCUAAGUGAAUGAAAAUCCUACCGAGUGGAGAGCAAUCCUCCCACUCGGAGGCUUAGCUGCGAUCCGGUACUCGCGUAAGUAUGAAAGUCAUUCCAACCCGCAAGGACGACGAGGUGCAGGUCGACUGCUACCUUCUGCUUUGGAGCUACGACACAAAUACAAUGUGCGCUUUGCAAGGACGCGAGGUGCAGGUCGACUGCUACCUUCUCCUUCGGAGCUACAACACAAAUACAAUGUGCACUCUGCAAGGACGACGAGGUGCAGGUCGACUGCUACCUUCUCCUUUGGAGCUCCACCACAAAUACAGUGUGCGCUCCAUCCUGGCCUGCAAGGAUGCAGGUCGACUGCAAUCUGUGCUCCAACCUGCAAGAGUACGUCACAAGCACUAAAAUAUAUUCCGAGUGAAGAGCAAUGUUCGCUUGAAGGCAAAUGCAAACAUAUUCAACAGCAAAGCCAAGUUCAGAUAGCAUCCUACGGAUCCAGAAGUGCUCAGGCAUCAAGCCUGUUAAAGUUUAUCGGUUACAAAACCACUUGGCAUUCCGAGGCAAAUUUAAGGCAUCAAGCAUAGAAGUUUUUUACUCCUCGGGUGGAGGACUGGAAGGCGCGACAAACUGGUCCAGGUCGAUUCCAUCUGCAAUCCGAGUGGCAGCAGCAAUGAAGGUCUCCACGAAAGAUUGGAAGUCAUGCUUCUUGGUAUUGGCCACCUUGAGGGACGCCAGCUUUUCCUCUCACGCAUCCUUGCAGUGAACACGGACCAGAGACAGAGCAACAUCAGCACCACACCUGGCAGAAGACUUCUUCCAUUCUUGCACUCGACCUGGAACUUCAUUCAGUUGACUCAUCAGAGACUCAAGGUCAUUCUGAAGCGUCUCCCUCGGCCAGAGUGUUGUGUCGAUUCGCGACGUCGCAACCUUCAGUCGAGCCAGAUAGUCCACCACACCAGCAACACGAGACUCCAGUCGGAGGACGUUCAUGGCAGUUUCAUCCUUCACAGGAGAGUUGAUGGGAUCCAGGCCUGUCUCCACUCGACUAGUCUCUUCCUCAAAGUUUUGGCAGAAUUCUGUAAACACAACCCAAAGAUAAGCCAAUAGUUCUAUGAUAAGUCAGUGAUUACAAGUCAGUCGGGCAGGAGAGAUUACCCUCAAGCAUGAUGAAUAACUUCUUGGCGAGCCCUCCCAGAUAAGCCUCCAGAUCGUUCUUCUUCCCCACCAGUUCACUAGCCUUGUCACUCAGAGCUAUCUUGUCAUUCUUCAGACGGCUGACUUCCUUGUUGGCCGCAUCGAGAGCAGCUUUCAGAUUGGCGUUCUCUUCUUCAAGUUUGCCGACCAAAGCCAGCUUCUCUUCCGCAAGCUUCGUUUUGUCCAAAGCCGCCUUCUGUGCCGCGGCAAGUUCCUUAUCCUUCUUCUUCAGAGCCUCAUUCGUUUUAUCUGCAAAAUGACAAUGAGAUCAGAAUCAAGAAUGGGCACAGGGAUAAAGACAGUCAUCAAGUUCUCACCAAUCAUACCUUUUGCCCCAUCCUUCGCCUUCUGAAAGUUCUCCUGAACAAGCUUCAAGUCAAGGUCGAGCUGGAUAUGUUUCUUUUCCAACUCAGUAUAACGAGCCACAAGCUCGCAAGAUUUCUGCAAAGAGUCAGUCGACAGACAUCAAAGAGAGGUUGCUUCCGAGUGACAAAGAGAAAAACCGUAACAUUUCUAAGACUAUAGUCGAAUCAAAAUAUUCAAUGGUAGUCUCGGGGACUACACCCAGUGGGUGCACUCAGCGUGCCCCCACUAGCUCUAUCGACUUGAUCCGAUCAGUCGACCGAAAGGAACAAAGAGAUUAUGGUCUCAUCAUGAUCUAUAGAAAAAACAGAGAGAGUUCUUCAUACUACAGUCGACUGCCAACAGUCCACUAUAGUCUCGGGGACUACACCCAGUGGGUGCACUCAGUGUGCCCCCAUCGGUUCUAAGAUUCCACUCGACAUGGUCCGACCAGACCGAGUGAAGAAGUUAGAGUGCAGAAAUUUCAAAUACGAAGACUACAGUCGACUUCCCGCAGUCCACCAUAGUCUUGGGGACUACACCUAGUGGGUGCAAUCAGCGUGCCCCCACCAAUCGAAAAAUUCAAUCGACACACCCAGUGGGUGUACAGAUACAAAGAUCUUCGGAAAGAAAGUCUUCAGAUAGCAUAUCCUAACAGAACAUGCGGUGACCAACUAACCUGGACAUUGCUCUGAAGGGCUGAGCUCGCAUCAUAAGCCGCUUGGCUAGCUUCCCGGAUCGCCUUCACCUGCUCCAUCAUAAUCCCCGCCUGGCGUAUAGCCUCCUUAGCAGCACCCGCUUGGUCCUCUGGGACGUGGUGUGUGGCGAAAAGGAAGGGCGGAUCAGUAGUCGACGACGAAGGCCGGGCACUCGUCAGCAGCACAACGAAGGUCACAGAAUGCCGAGUGACAUCGCCACCUUCUUGAACCAGUACCUCAGGCACUAAUGCAGUCCGAGUGGCCUUGCCAGCCGGCGCCUUUCUAUUCUUCCUCGCCCUCAAUGGCAUCGCGUCGUCAUCAUCAGGGAGAUCAAUGACAUGAUGAGGAGCUGCAAGAUAAAUCCAAAGUCAGAAAGAAAAAACCAAUCGACCAAAAGUGAAAAUGCAAGAGAGCGUACCAGGGUUGGAGGUGGCAGUGUCUUCCAUUUCCUGGUCGUCGUUCUUGGUGGAGGUCUCGGAGGUAGCAGCACUGCAGAUUUCAGAAAUCAGUCGGUUAGUCGAUGAGUCGACCAGAAGUUCGUCCGAGCUAAAUAAGAAAACACAAGUUCUGCUGUUACCCGGAGAUAGUGGGAAUGGCCAUUAUCAUCUUGGGCAAGGCCUUCGGUGGCUUUGACGGCUUCGACUGCUUCGGCGCUUUCUCAGUCGGCGCUGGAGAAGCCGCCCGAGGGCGCUUGGACGACUGCGCAACAGGCACGACCGCUUUGCCACGCUCACCCACGGGGUCGUGGGCAAGCUUGGAUCGCCUUUCUGUGCGAGGAGGAUCGACUUCCAUUUCCUCCUCCUCCUCGCUGGAGCCAUCUUCAAUCUCUUCCCCCUCGCCGUUAGAUUGCCACUCCUCCUCCUCACUUUCACCUCCACUUGCCUCUCCCUCCUCGGCUUGUUCUUGCGCCUCGUUGGGCGUCGAAUACAUCUCAGUCGUGGCCUAGAAGACAACAAACAAGACAAAAAGUCAGUCAAUUGAUUUUAAGCAGACAGAAUGGAGAAAGCAGAAUCACAGUCGAGAAUGCAGAAUCGAACCUUAUCUACUUCGUAUGAUUGGUCGAGUGGGACAACCCUCCUGGCCCCUCAGGGGUUGUCUUUAUUCCCUGUGAUGCUCGCCAUCCACCGCUCCAGCGUGGCCUCAUCGAUCUCCUCCGGAUGGAUCCGAGUGGUGUCCUCAGUGCCAGAAUACAACCACAUUGGAUGAUCUCAAGCUUGGAGCGGCUGGAUGCGUCAUCGGAGGAAGACCUCCAAGAGGUCCAUGCCAGUCACCCCGUCACGGAUGAGCUGCACGACACGCUCGACCAGCACCUUAACCUGCGCCUUCUCUUCCGGGGCCACCUUCAAAGAGGAAGGCUUCCUCACUCGUUCCAUGGAAAAAGGAGGGAGCCCAGUCGACUGCCCUGGCGUCGGCUGGUCUUUGCAGUAGAACCAGGUCGACUGCCAUCCACGGACCGAGUCGGGUAAGAUCAUGGUCGGAAAGGAGCUUUUUCCUCUCAGCUGAACCCCAAGACCCCCACACAUCUGAAUCACUUGAGUUCUCUCGUCACUCGGGUUGGCCUUCUUCACCGUCUGGGAGCGACAGGUGAAGAUGUGCUUGAAAAGACCCCAAUGAGGCCGGCAACCCAAGAAAUUCUCGCACAAGGACACGAAAGCAGCAAGGUACACGAUGGUGUUGGGUGUGAAGUGGUGGAGUUGCGCCCCAAAGAAAUACAGAAAUCCCCGAAAGAAAGGGUGAGGCGGCAAAGAAAACCCACGGUCGACGUGGGUGGCCAAGAGAACACACUCACCCUCCUGAGGCUGCAGCUCUGACUCCCUCCCCGGGAGCCGUGCCGAUCCAUGGGGGAUCAGUCCUCCGUCGGCCAAGUCGUCAAGAUCCGCUUGACUAAUCGUCGAGCGGAUCCAGUCGCCCUCGAUCCAGCCUGGCGGCAGGCCGGUCCUCGAUGAUGAUCCGCUCCGACUGGUUCCCCUUCCCUUCGCCUUCGCCGUCGCUUUCUUCGCCCGCUCCAGGGCCGCCGUCUUCUCUUUCACCAUCGUUGCUGACGAGGUGUGCACGGAGCAGCGACGCGGAGGCGGAAGCAAACGUGGCGGAGAAGUCUGGAGAAGAGAGGGGAGAAUGAGAAUGCACUGUUCAAAACCCCCUGUCCGGUGCUUUAUAUAAGGUUGCUUCCGAGUGACUGACAUGUAGGCCCGGGCUAUCCUGUCAAAUCCCGCAACAGUCACGCACGCGAUACAUGGCGAAAAAGGUGGCGCAGAGAUCGAGGCGACCUGCCUUAUCCCAUCCGAUUACUGCGGCCUCGCCCCGUCCCCCGCGCUUCCCAAAAUUCAAAUCCCACAAAAUCCGCGGGUUGCAGAACAAUUCGUCAGACGAAAGAUCUCCUCCCCUCUGUCACUCGGAGCUCUCCAAGUGAAAACUUCACUCGGCAGAUACAAAGAAUGGAUCAAGGCGACUGAAAAAGAAGUUGGUGACAUCACCUAAAGUUCAUUGAUCCAAGACAAGACAUACUGAUAGCAUGUGAAAUGGGUCGGAAGAGUUCCCAACUCCUUCCCCACUCAAACCUCGAUCCAUUCGAGGGCUAAUGAUGAAGCUAUGUACCUAGGGUAGGGUCAUGGACCAGUCCAAACUACCCUACCCAAGGACAUCUCUAGAAGAAAUCACCUGUCAAUCAACUCAGAAGUGUUCCACUCGACAGACUCGAAGACACUCGACCAUGAAGCCAUCCACCCGACAGUGAGGAGACCUGAAGUCACUCUGCACGCCAACGGUCGGUCAUUAAGUAGCUUUUAUGGUCAUCAAAGCACUUUAUGUGUAGCGUUACCAAUAACGCCCAAUCUUAAUGUAACUUAAAGCCUGCAUAACUGAGGGCCAGAGGGGUCUGGCGGACUCUAUAUAAGCCACCCCCUCCUUAGUGUAAAGGGUUCGCACCCCUGUAACUCAUACGCAUAUAAUCCAGUCGACCGCCUCCAGGCUCUGAGACGUAGGGCUGUUACUUCCUCCGAGAAGGGCCCGAACUCGUAAACCUCUUGCGUAUACAACUACUCCAUAGCCAGGAUCUUGCCUCUCCAUACCUACCCCCCUUUCUACUGUCAGACUUAUAACCACGACAGCAGGCCAAAAAACGGUUCGAAAUAAUGGCCGAGCGGCGACGUGAUGUCACUCUACAAAAAGUUGUCAGCGAUUGGACUCGUGAAAUAUUAUACUCUCUACGGUUGUGUGUGGAAUUUGUUUUGCAGAGCCAGACACGAUUCUUGAUAACAGAACGUAUGUGCAAAGUCAUUCGUGAUAACCUCAAAGCAGCUCAAUCCCGCCAGAAGUGCUACUAUGAUAGUAAGCACCGUGAUCUGGUUUUUGAGAUCGGAGAUCAUGUUUACCUCCGCGUCUCUCCUAUGAAAGGUACUCGUCGCUUCGGUAUCAAAGGGAAGCUUGCCCCUAGAUACGUGGGACCUUUCAAGAUUGUCAGCAAGAGAGGCGACCUCGCCUAUCAACUCGAGCUUCCUUCAAACUUUGCAAAUGUUCAUGAUGUGUUCCACGUCUCUCAGCUUCGAAAGUGCUUCAAGACUCCUGACCGCACCGUCAACUUCGAGGAUAUUGAGCUCCAAGAAGAUCUCUCCUAUCGUGAGCACCCAGUUGCUAUUCUUGAAGAGACUGAACGCAAGACUCGCAACAAGUCAAUCAAAUUCCUCAAAGUUAAGUGGUCUCACCAUUCCGACCGUGAAGCUACCUGGGAACGCGAGGAUCACCUCCGUUCUGAGUACCCGGAGUUCUUUCAGUCCUAGAUCUCGGGACGAGAUCUUUUCGUAGUGGUGGAGUGUUGUAACGCCCCAGAUGUAACUUUCCCCAUUUGUACUCCAACUCUUGCCGUUUCCGGUGUCAAGUUAUAUUUAUUUCUCGGGUUCGGGUCCUUGUCUCCGUGUGUUGUUUUCGUUUUCAUGCACCUCAUACCAUGUCAUCACGUGCAUUGCAUUUGCAUACAUGUUCAUCUCAUGCAUUCGAUCAUUUUCCCCGUUGUCCGUUUUGCAUUCCGGCGCUUCGUUCUCCUCCGGUGGACAUUUCUAGCUUUCUUUCUUGUGUGGGGAUUAAACAUUUCCGGAUUGGACCGAGACUUGCCAAGCGGCCUUGGUUUACUACCGGUAGACCGCCUGUCAAGUUUCGUAUCAUUUGGACUUCGUUUGAUGCUCCAACGGUUAACCGAGGGACCGAAAAGGCCUCGUGUGUGUUGCAGCCCAACACCCCCCAAAUUUGGCCCAAAACCCACCAAACUCUGCUCCAUCGUCUCGGUCGUUCGAUCACGAUCGUGUGGGCGAAAACCGCACCUCAUUUGGACUCUCAUAGCUCCCUCUAUGCCUAUAUAUACACCCCUCCGUUUUCGGAUCUCUCCCUCUCCCCGAAACCCUAAAAAAAAUCAUCCCCGCCAGAUCCGCGCCGACGGACGUGUCCGCCCCGGCCGGACAACGUCCGCCGCAGACCGCCUCAGCCAGCCGGGUCGCGCCACGUGGCAGGACCACAUCGCCACCGCCGCCGGCCCGCANNNNNNNNNNNNNNNNNNNNNNNNNNNNNNNNNNNNNNNNNNNNNNNNNNNNNNNNNNNNNNNNNNNNNNNNNNNNNNNNNNNNNNNNNNNNNNNNNNNNNNNNNNNNNNNNNNNNNNNNNNNNNNNNNNNNNNNNNNNNNNNNNNNNNNNNNNNNNNNNNNNNNNNNNNNNNNNNNNNNNNNNNNNNNNNNNNNNNNNNNNNGCCCCGGCCUCUCCCCGCCGCCUCGCCGGCCUCCCCUCCUCCGGCGAGCUCGAGCUCCGCCGCCGGCGCCGCCUCGGCUUCCGCGCCGCGAUCCCGAUCUGGAUCCGGUCGCGUGAACAGUAAACCCUAACCCCGAUUUUUUUUGCUAAGUCCUGAAAAUUUUGAUCCAUGUUGCUCUGUUCGAGGUCCCGUAACUUUGCAACCGUAGCUCCGUUUUGGGCGUAUGAUAUAUCAAAAUCUUCGCCUCGCCAUGUACAUCAUUUCAUUCCAUUGCGUCAUUUGCAUUUGAGGUCAUCUUGAUACCCAAAAGGCUGUUAGAAGGAGGCUUCGUGAGUUAAAUUGCAGAUCCGUUAGUUCAUCAUGCACUCUUGUCAUUUUUGUCAUGUUUAAUUCGUGCAUGAUAUGCCUGUGCCCCUUUGGGAUGAAUUGUGAAGCAUUUUGUCUUCUUUCCAGAGGUGUCACCCAUGCAUUUUUAGGAUGUGUGUGUUGUCUUGUGCAAGCUUGCGAAGAGAGGUACCUGAGAUUGCAGAUUUCAGGGACUUCGUGAUUUUCACUAAGUCUGGGAUAUUUUAGUUCAUGAUGCCAUAUGUCCAGCUUGUUUCCUAGUGAUCCGUGCCUCUUUUGAGGAUGAUCAGUAAGGGAGUUUUGAUAUUUAUGUUAUUCUCUAUCCAUCCAUGUCUUUGUUUGCAUAUGUGGAGUGCUCUAGGUUGACUCAAUCGAGCUCAACUUUUGCUUCGUUGUUAAUCUGGGCAGAUCGUCAACUUGUUUGCGAUUUUGCCGAUGCUACCGUUAGUUUUCCAUGCAUGCUAUGCCUUUGUUCUUGCCAUGUGUAGCUAGCACUUUGUGCCUUCUUGCUGGUUAUAUGCUUUCCUUGCCAUGACUUGCACCAUAGAGAGUGCAUCAAGCUCGUUUACAUGCCUUCGUGAGUUAAAUUUCAGCAUGUCUCAGUUUUCACUAAGUCUGAAAACUGAUUGUGUUCGAGCGAUGUUCGUGAGCUCGGUAGAGUAUUUUGUGAACCCUUUUGGCCCCAGGUCACUUUGGGUGUUUUGUUAAGCUUGAUGAGUAGCUCCAUGCCAUGUUCUUACUUGUCAUGUUCAGGUUCUCUAUCAUGUUGUUUUUCUGCUCCGAAGAGAGCAUCGUGACCUGAAAUUUCAGACUAGUGUUAAUUUCACUAAGUCUGAAAUCUGUUUUGCAUUUGCGUUUUAGCCAUGCUUGUUUGAACCUCUUAAUGGAUGAAUUUGCCUAUGGCUCAGUGCUAGUGUUUUGUCAACCAUCUUGUGUACUUCACUGCCAUGUAUUUUGUUUUCAUGUUUGGUGGCUGUAGCAUGCUCAUUUCGUUGCAUUUAGAUGCCUACUUGCUGUAAAUCGCAGACCGGUGUCAUAUCUUAAAACGCUUGCCAUUUCCAAACCGUAACUCCGAUUCCAAUGAUCUUUAUAUCGUUUUCAAGCGAUUUCAUCCCCUCUAUCCAGUGGCACACUUGGUUUUCCAAGUUGAUGCCAGGUUCAUGCAUUUCCUGUCAUAUCUUGCAUUUUGCAUCCCGCAUCGCAUCCCGCAUAGCAUAUCGUCAUUUCAUCAUAUUGCUUGGUCUUGCCCGUGGUUGAUUGUAUCCUUGUUGCUUGUUUGUCUUUGGGUAGAGCCGGGAGACGAGUUCGCUACCGAGGAGCCCGUUGAGUUUGCUUGUGAGGAUCCAGUCAACUCUGACAACUGUGCAGGCAAGAUGAUCAUACCCUCGAAAUCACUACUAUCUUUGCUAUGCUAGUUUGCUCGCUCUUUUGCUUUGCCACUGCUACGAUGCCUACCUUUUGCUUGUCAGCCUCCCAAUUGCCAUGUUGAACCUCUAACCCACCAUUGUCCUAGCAAACCGUUGAUUGGCUAUGUUACCGCUUUGCUCAGCCCUUCUUAUAGCGUUGUUAGUUGCAGGUGAAGAUUGGAGCCGUUCCUUGUUGGAACAUUUAUAUUCUUGUUGGGAUAUCAUUAUAUUGCUAUGUUAUCUUAAUGCACCUAUAUACUUGGUAAAGGGUGGAAGGCUCGGCCUCUCGCCUAGUGUUUUGUUCCACUCUUGCCGCCCUAGUUUCCGUCAUAUCGGUGUUAUGUUCCCGGAUUGUGCGUCCCUUACGCGGUUGGGCUAUAAUGGGAACCCCUUGAUAGUUCGCCUUGAUUAAAGCUUUUCCAGCAAUGCCCAACAUUGGUUUUACCAUUUUCCACCUAGCCUCUUUUUCCCUUGGGUUUCCGGAGCCCGAGGGUCAUCUUAUUUUAACCCCCCCCCAGGCUAGUGCUCCUCUGAGUGUUGGUCCGAACCAGGCAGCCUGCGGGGCCACCUCGGGGAAACUUGAGGUUUGGUUUUACUCGUAGCUUGACCUAUCCGAGCGUGCCCUGAGAAAGAGAUAUGUGCAGCUCCUAUCGGGAUUUGUCGGCACAUUCGGGCGGUGUUGCUGGACUUGUUUUAACCUGUCGAAUCAUCUUGUUGUACCGAGAUACCGAGUCUGAUCGGUGUGUCUUGGGUGGAGGUCUAUUCCUUCGUUGACCGUGAGAGCUUGUUAUGGGCUAAGUUGGGACCCCCCUGUAGGGAUUGAUCUUCCGAAAGCCGUGCCCGCGGUUAUGGGCGGAUGGGAAUUUGUUAACGUCCGGUUGUAGAUGACUUGAACUAAACUUAAUUAAAAUGAAUCAACCGUGUGUGUUACCGUGAUGGCCCCUUCUCGGUGGAGUCCGGGAAGUGGACACGGUGUUGGAGUUAUGCUUGCGCAGGAGUUCCUUUAGCUUCUCGCUCGUGCUUCGCCUUCUCUUCUCGCUCUCUUUUGCGUAUAAGUUAGCCACCACAUAUGCUAGUUGCUGCUGCAGCUCCACAUAUAUUUGCCUUAUCCAUUCCUAUGAGCUUAAAUAGUCUUGAUCGCGUGGGUGUGAGAUUGCUGAGUCCCUGUGGCUCACAGAUACUACAACUCCAGAUGCAGGUCCAGGUGAUUCCGCUCCAGUUGACGAUUACGAGCUCAAGUGGGAGUUCGACGAGGACUCUCAGCGAUACUACGUGUCCUUUCCAGAUGAUCAGUAGUGGUGCCUAGUUGGGGUUAUCGAUUCAGGACCUUGUCACAUGUUGGGUUCUUUUCUAUUUUGGCGCCGUAGUUGGGCCAUGAGUGUUUGUUUGAUGGAUGUUAUUUAUGUACUCUGAUGUGACGUGGCGAGUGUAAGCCAACUAUGUUAUCUCCCCCUUUUAUUAUAUAUUACAUGGGAUGUUGUAAUGAUUGCCCGACUUGCGACAUUGCUUUCAAUGCGGUUAUGCCUCUAAGUCGUGCCUCGACACGUGGGAGCUAUAGCCGCAUCGAGGGCAUUACAAGUUGGUAAUCAGAGCCUUCCCCGACCUUAGGAGCCCCAUUGCUUGAUCGUUUUUAGCAGCCGAGUUGUGUCUAGAAAAAUGUUUUGAGUCCUUAGGAAUUAUAUAUCGGAGAGCUUAGGAAUUCUUUUACUUCCCAGUCUCCUCAUCGCUCUGGUAAGGCAUCCUAGCGUAGAGUUUUGACUCUUCUCUUCUCAAAUUUCACUAAAAAUUUUUUAGGAUCACGCGAGUAUCUUGGUUUUGUUCCGAUGGUUUUGUGACGAGAACAUUGUUCUUGGUGCCUCCUGUCUUUAGGGGUUGUGGCAGUGUCCCGGGGAGUUGAGCUCCGAGGUGUUGUCGUCACAAUUUUAUCGUUGCAAUUCUGGUAUACUUGAGAUAUGUUCGCCGACAUCGAAAAUCUCUUUUAUGCAGUUCGUUGGUGAGAUAACCUCGACGCCACCCAGUACUGGGGCGGGAGUUCGGGAGUAUCGCCAUAACUUGUAUAACGGAUGCUUUUCGAAGGUUGAGGUAGAUGGUUUCCGAAGUUUUCCUGGUUAUGUGUUGAAGGAUGGAUACAGCUGGAUGUAGGAUUUGCUAGUUUGGGUGAGAUAUUGUGCUUCCCCUGUAUCCCCAACACCUGAUUGCAUAACCGGAAAGGUUCGGGAAUUUCAUAGGUGGGAAUUCUAGUAGCUCUAGUUCUUCUUCCAUGGAUAUUGGUUUGAGAUUGGGAUUUCUUACCGAUUAUUCGUUCUUGAUCCGUACCUUGUUGAAUUAUUUCUCUUCCUUAAUUCUUCGUGGCUUCUCAAUUUAUGGAUAUGUGACCAUUUGAAGAGGAAUGCAUUCAUUCAUUUUGUUCGGAUGUGAAGACUAUAUGUUGCAAUUUUCAUUCCGUUGGAUUCAGCUUCUAUAUUGUUGUCUAUCUAUGUGCUAAUGGUGGUCAACCUCUUCAGGAUGGCUCCUCCAACGCGCACGACUCCGAAUCCUAAUCCGCCUCCACCUCCGCCUGCUCCGGAAGCAUGGCAAGCUGUGAUGGCCGCUACUAAUGCAAACACACAGUUGAUCAUGCAAAUCCUUCAAGAGCGCAAUCAAGGCAGUCAAGGGAAUCAAGGCCACAAUCAGCACCACUUUGCUACACUGAACCAGUUCCUUGCUAAUGGCCCAAAGACGUUCAACGGUUGUGUUGAGGCUACCGAUGCUGACGAUUGGCUAGUGGAUCUGGGCAAGCAUUUUGAAUGUAGCAACGUCAGGCCUGAAGAUUUCGUCAAGUUCGCUUCUUUCCAGCUCAAAGAUCAGGCUGCAGAGUGGUUCCAGCAGUACAAGGAUUCCAGAGGUGGACGUGUUAUCACUUGGGACGAUUUCCGUCAAGAUUUCCGCGCUCAUCACAUCCCUCAAAGUGUGGUUGAGAGUAAGCGUCAGGAAUUCCGCAAUCUGAAGCAAGGCUCUUUGUCUGUCUAUGACUACAACAAGUUGUUCCAGAAGCUCGCCCGUUUUGCCAAGCAGGAUGUUCCUGAUGAGAAGAGCAUGAUCUAUCAGUUCAGGGGUGGUCUUCGUGAGGAAAUUCAGCUCGCUCUUGUUCUCUUUGAGCCGUUGAGAUACGAUGAGUUCUACAACAUGGCACUGAAGCAAGAGGCUGCUCAGAUGAGAUGUGAUGCUUCCAGGAAGCGUGCCAGAGAUGUUACUCCUUCUUCCUCUACUCAAGUGGUCAAGCAGCAGAAGUUCUGGCUUCCUCCUCCUCCGUUCCGUCAGCCGUAUCAGCAGAAGAGCAAAGGUGGAAGUGGUUUCUCCCACCCACCCAACCCAGGCUUUCAGAACAAGUCUUCAUCUCAAUCUCCAAGAUCGAGUGCUCCGUAUCACCGUCCGCUUUCAGAGGUCACGUGCAACAAGUGCCAACAGAAGGGUCACUAUGCCAACAAGUGUACCAACCAGAGGCGUCUUCCUCCUCCUCCUCCUGUCAGAUCGGCAAGUACAGCUGUGGUCAAGCAUAAUCCCAAGCACGCCAAGGUCAAUAUGCUGAAUGCAGCUCAGGCUGAGGAUUCUUCAGAUGUCAUUAUGGGUAACCUUCCUAUUAAUGAUAUUCUUGCAAAAGUUCUUUUUGACACGGGUGCAUCGCAUAGUUUCAUGUCAAAGCCAUUUUUUACCAAGCAUGAGUUCGUUUCUUCUCAUUUGGGUAAACAUAUGGAUAUCAUUUCUCCUGGCAAACGUUUGAGCGCAAGUCUGGAGGUGCCAGAUGUCGCUAUCACGAUGGGCGAUUUCAAGUUUCUUGCUUCUCCUAUGGUUCUUGGUAACUCCGAUAUCGACCUUAUUCUCGGGAUGGACUGGCUCUCUAAGCAUAAAGCUCAGCUUGAUUGUGCAGCCAGGCAGAUUCAAUUGACUCAUUCGUCUGAGGAUGUAAUUGUCUUUGCUGCUCAGGAUAAUACCAUCCGAUUGUUUUCUCUCAAUGAGAAGGGUGAAUUGGAUGCUAUUUCGCAGAUUCCUGUCGUUUGCGAAUAUCAAGACGUCUUUCCAGAAGAACUUCUAGGGAUGCCUCCAAACCGGCCGGUUGAAUUUGUUAUUGAACUUGAGCCCGGUACGGAACCUGUGUGCAAACGUCCCUACAAGCUCGGCCCCGAAGAGUUGAAGGAGUUGAAGAGACAACUCGAUGAGCAAGAAAGAUUGGGUCUCAUUCGGCCUAGUACUUCUCCGUGGGGUUGUGGUGUUCUUUUUGUGAAGAAGAAGGAUGGAUCGAGUCGACUUUGUGUUGAUUACCGUCCAGUAAACAAGAAGACCAUCAAGAACAAAUACCCACUUCCCAACAUCAAUGAGCUGUUCGAACAACUCAAGGGUGCUCAAGUAUUCUCCAAGCUUGAUCUCCGUAUGGGUUAUCAUCAGAUUCGUAUUCGUGAGCAAGAUAUUCCCAAGACGGCGUUCAGGACAAGCUUUGGUUCAUAUGAAUACACCGUCAUGUCUUUUGGCCUCGCCAACGCUCCUCCGACGUUCUCUCGCAUGAUGAACUUCAUCUUCAACCCCUACACCAAUGAAUUCGUUUUGGUCUAUCUCGACGACAUUCUGGUUUUCUCGAAGAACAAGGAAGAUCAUGCCAAGCACUUGCGUUUGGUUCUUGACAAGCUCAGGGAACAUCAGUUCUACGCCAAGUUCUCCAAGUGUGAAUUUUGGCUCGAUGAGGUUCUUUAUCUUGGUCAUAUCAUCUCUGCCAAGGGCAUUUCUGUGAAUCCUGAGAAGGUGUCCGCAAUUGUGAAUUGGGAACCUCCUCAGAACGUGAAGCAACUCCGCAGUUUCCUCGGUCUCGCAAGCUAUUGCAGAAGAUUCGUUGAAAACUUUUCUAAGAUCGCCAAGCCUCUCUCAAAUCUUCUUCAGAAGCACGUCAAGUACGUUUGGUCUCCGGAGUGUGAUAUUGCUUUCAACUCUUUGAAAGAGAAAUUGGUCACUGCUCCAGUUCUGACUCCGCCUGAUGAAACCAAGCCGUACGAGGUCUUUUGUGAUGCCUCUCUCCAAGGUCUCGGUGCUGUACUGAUGCAAGAGAAGAAAGUUGUUGCUUAUACCUCUCGCCAGUUGAAACCUAAUGAGAAGAACUACCCCACUCAUGAUCUCGAGUUGGCGGCAGUUGUGCACGCUUUGUUGACUUGGAGACAUCUUCUAUUGGGAAGGAAAGUGGAUAUUUUCACUGAUCACAAGAGUCUCAAGUACAUCUUCACUCAGCCUAAUCUCAACCUCAGGCAGACUCGAUGGGUCGAAAUGAUUCAAGAGUACAAUCCGAGUAUCGAGUAUACUCCAGGCAAGGCUAAUGUAAUUGCUGACGCUUUGAGCAGAAAAGCAUAUUGCAACAGUCUGAUUCUCAAGCCUUAUCAACCCGAGCUUUGUGAAGCUUUCCGCAAACUUAAUCUGCAAGUUGUUACUCAAGGUUUCCUCGCCAACCUUCAAGUCUCUCCUACCUUAGAAGACCAGAUUCGCCAAGCCCAACUUCUUGAUGCUAUGGUGAAGAAGGUGAAGAUUGGUAUUGCAAAGAGUCAGUCCAAGUACAAGUGCUACCGACUUGAUGACAAGGACGCUCUCUUCUUCGAGGAUCGAAUUGUUGUGCCCAAAGGUGAACUUCGUAAGGUGAUCAUGAACGAGGCUCACAACUCUCUCCUCUCCAUCCACCCUGGUAGUACGAAGAUGUAUCAGGACCUCAAGCAAGCUUAUUGGUGGACUCGAAUGAAGCGCGAGAUCGCUCAAUUCGUGAAUGAAUGUGAUGUCUGCAGAAGAGUGAAGGCAGAACACCAAAGGCCAGCUGGUCUCCUCCAACCUCUUGCCAUUCCAGAAUGGAAGUUUGACCACAUUGAAAUGGACUUCGUGACUGGGUUUCCAAAGUCCAAGCAUGGCAAUGAUGCUAUAUUCGUCGUUAUCGACAAGCUCACCAAAGUGGCUCAUUUUCUGCCUAUCAAAGAGUCAAUCACUGCAGCUCAAUUGGCGGAACUCUAUACCUCUCGCAUUGUCUCUCUGCACGGUAUUCCUCAAGUGAUAUCUUCAGACCGUGGCAGCAUCUUUACCUCCAAGUUUUGGGAUUCUUUUCAGAAGGCCAUGGGCACCAACAUCCGCUUCAGCACAGCUUUCCAUCCUCAAACGAGCGGUCAAGUCGAGCGUGUCAACCAGAUUCUCGAAGACAUGCUCAGGGCUUGUGUGAUUUCUUUCGGCAUGAAGUGGGAGGACUGUCUUCCUUAUGCUGAAUUCUCAUACAACAACAGCUUUCAAGCAAGUUCGGGCAAGGCCCCCUUUGAAAUUCUAUAUGGCAGGAAGUGCCGUACCCCUCUCAACUGGUCUGAAACCGGUGAAUGUCAGCUGCUGGGUAAUGACUUAAUCACAGAAGCAGAAGAUAUGUGCAAAGUCAUUCGUGAUAACCUCAAAGCAGCUCAAUCCCGCCAGAAGUGCUACUAUGAUAGUAAGCACCGUGAUCUGGUUUUUGAGAUCGGAGAUCAUGUUUACCUCCGCGUCUCUCCUAUGAAAGGUACUCGUCGCUUCGGUAUCAAAGGGAAGCUUCCCCCUAGAUACGUGGGACCUUUCAAGAUUGUCAGCAAGAGAGGCGACCUCGCCUAUCAACUCGAGCUUCCUUCAAACUUUGCAAAUGUUCAUGAUGUGUUCCACGUCUCUCAGCUUCGAAAGUGCUUCAAGACUCCUGACCGCACCGUCAACUUCGAGGAUAUUGAGCUCCAAGAAGAUCUCUCCUAUCGUGAGCACCCAGUUGCUAUUCUUGAAGAGACUGAACGCAAGACUCGCAACAAGUCAAUCAAAUUCCUCAAAGUUAAGUGGUCUCACCAUUCCGACCGUGAAGCUACCUGGGAACGCGAGGAUCACCUCCGUUCUGAGUACCCGGAGUUCUUUCAGUCCUAGAUCUCGGGACGAGAUCUUUUCGUAGUGGUGGAGUGUUGUAACGCCCCAGAUGUAACUUUCCCCAUUUGUACUCCAACUCUUGCCGUUUCCGGUGUCAAGUUAUAUUUAUUUCUCGGGUUCGGGUCCUUGUCUCCGUGUGUUGUUUUCGUUUUCAUGCACCUCAUACCAUGUCAUCACGUGCAUUGCAUUUGCAUACAUGUUCAUCUCAUGCAUUCGAUCAUUUUCCCCGUUGUCCGUUUUGCAUUCCGGCGCUUCGUUCUCCUCCGGUGGNNNNNNNNNNNNNNNNNNNNNNNNNNNNNNNNNNNNNNNNNNNNNNNNNNNNNNNNNNNNNNNNNNNNNNNNNNNNNNNNNNNNNNNNNNNNNNNNNNNNNNNNNNNNNNNNNNNNNNNNNNNNNNNNNNNNNNNNNNNNNNNNNNNNNNNNNNNNNNNNNNNNNNNNNNNNNNNNNNNNNNNNNNNNNNNNNNNNNNNNNNNNNNNNNNNNNNNNNNNNNNNNNNNNNNNNNNNNNNNNNNNNNNNNNNNNNNNNNNNNNNNNNNNNNNNNNNNNNNNNNNNNNNNNNNNNNNNNNNNNNNNNNNNNNNNNNNNNNNNNNNNNNNNNNNNNNNNNNNNNNNNNNNNNNNNNNNNNNNNNNNNNNNNNNNNNNNNNNNNNNNNNNNNNNNNNNNNNNNNNNNNNNNNNNNNNNNNNNNNNNNNNNNNNNNNNNNNNNNNNNNNNNNNNNNNNNNNNNNNNNNNNNNNNNNNNNNNNNNNNNNNNNNNNNNNNNNNNNNNNNNNNNNNNNNNNNNNNNNNNNNNNNNNNNNNNNNNNNNNNNNNNNNNNNNNNNNNNNNNNNNNNNNNNNNNNNNNNNNNNNNNNNNNNNNNNNNNNNNNNNNNNNNNNNNNNNNNNNNNNNNNNNNNNNNNNNNNNNNNNNNNNNNNNNNNNNNNNNNNNNNNNNNNNNNNNNNNNNNNNNNNNNNNNNNNNNNNNNNNNNNNNNNNNNNNNNNNNNNNNNNNNNNNNNNNNNNNNNNNNNNNNNNNNNNNNNNNNNNNNNNNNNNNNNNNNNNNNNNNNNNNNNNNNNNNNNNNNNNNNNNNNNNNNNNNNNNNNNNNNNNNNNNNNNNNNNNNNNNNNNNNNNNNNNNNNNNNNNNNNNNNNNNNNNNNNNNNNNNNNNNNNNNNNNNNNNNNNNNNNNNNNNNNNNNNNNNNNNNNNNNNNNNNNNNNNNNNNNNNNNNNNNNNNNNNNNNNNNNNNNNNNNNNNNNNNNNNNNNNNNNNNNNNNNNNNNNNNNNNNNNNNNNNNNNNNNNNNNNNNNNNNNNNNNNNNNNNNNNNNNNNNNNNNNNNNNNNNNNNNNNNNNNNNNNNNNNNNNNNNNNNNNNNNNNNNNNNNNNNNNNNNNNNNNNNNNNNNNNNNNNNNNNNNNNNNNNNNNNNNNNNNNNNNNNNNNNNNNNNNNNNNNNNNNNNNNNNNNNNNNNNNNNNNNNNNNNNNNNNNNNNNNNNNNNNNNNNNNNNNNNNNNNNNNNNNNNNNNNNNNNNNNNNNNNNNNNNNNNNNNNNNNNNNNNNNNNNNNNNNNNNNNNNNNNNNNNNNNNNNNNNNNNNNNNNNNNNNNNNNNNNNNNNNNNNNNNNNNNNNNNNNNNNNNNNNNNNNNNNNNNNNNNNNNNNNNNNNNNNNNNNNNNNNNNNNNNNNNNNNNNNNNNNNNNNNNNNNNNNNNNNNNNNNNNNNNNNNNNNNNNNNNNNNNNNNNNNNNNNNNNNNNNNNNNNNCGGCGAGCUCGAGCUCCGCCGCCGGCGCCGCCUCGGCUUCCGCACCGCGAUCCCGAUCUGGAUCCGGUCGCGUGAACAGUAAACCCUAACCCCGAUUUUUUUUGCUAAGUCCUGAAAAUUUUGAUCCAUGUUGCUCUGUUCGAGGUCCCGUAACUUUGCAACCGUAGCUCCGUUUUGGGUGUAUGAUAUAUCAAAAUCUUCGCCUCAACAUGUACAUCAUUUCAUUCCAUUGCGUCAUUUGCAUUUGGGGUCAUCUUGAUACCCAAAAGGCUGUUAGAAGGAGGCUUCCUGAGUUAAAUUGCAGAUCCGUUAGUUCAUCAUGCACUCUUGUCAUUUUUGUCAUGUUUAAUUCGUGCAUGAUAUGCCUGUGCCCCUUUGGGAUGAAUUGUGAAGCAUUUUGUCUUCUUUCCAGAGGUGUCACCCAUGCAUUUUUAGGAUGUGUGUGUUGUCUUGUGCAAGCUUGCGAAGAGAGGUACCUGAGAUUGCAGAUUUCAGGGACUUGGUGAUUUUCACUAAGUCUGGGAUAUUUUAGUUCAUGAUGCCAUAUGUCCAGCUUGUUUCCUACUGAUCCGUGCCUCUUUUGAGGAUGAUCAGUAAGGGAGUUUUGAUAUUUAUGUUAUGCUCUAUCCAUCCAUGUCUUUGUUUACAUAUGUGGAGUGCUCUAGGUUGACUCAAUCGAGCUCAACUUUUGCUUCGUUGUUAAUCUGGGCAGAUCGUCAACUUGUUUGCGAUUUUGCCGAUGCUACCGUUAGUGUUCCAUGCAUGCUAUGCCUUUGUUCUUGCCAUGUGUAGCUAGCACUUUGUGCCUUCUUGCUGGUUAUAUGCUUUCCUUGCCAUGACUUGCAACGUAGCGAGUGCAUCGAGCUCGUUUACAUGCCUUCGUGAGUUAAAUUUCAGCAUGUCUCAGUUUUCACUAAGUCUGAAAACUGAUUGUGUUCGAGCGAUGUUCGUGAGCUCGGUAGAGUAUUUUGUGAACCCUUUUGGCCCCAGGUCACUUUGGGUGUUUUGUUAAGCUUGAUGAGUAGCUCCAUGCCAUGUUCUUACUUGUCAUGUUCAGGUUCUCUAUCAUGUUGUUUUGCUGCUCCGAAGAGAGCAUCGUGACCUGAAAUUUCAGACUAGUGUUAAUUUCACCAAGUCUUAAAUCUGUUUUGCAUUUGCGUUUUAGCCAUGCUUGUUUGAACCUCUUAAUGGAUGAAUUUGCCUAUGGCUCAGUGCUAGUGUUUUGUCAACCAUCUUGUGUACUUCACUGCCAUGUAUUUUGUUUUCAUGUUUGGUGGCUGUAGCAUGCUCAUUUCGUUGCAUUUAGAUGCCUACUUGCUGUAAAUCGCAGACCGGUGUCAUAUCUUAAAACGCUUGCCAUUUCCAAACCGUAACUCCGAUUCCAAUGAUCUUUAUAUCGUUUUCAAGCGAUUUCAUCCCCUCUAUCCAGUGGCACACUUGGUUUUCCAAGUUGAUGCCAGGUUCAUGCAUUUCCUGUCAUAUCUUGCAUUUUGCAUCCCGCAUCGCAUCCCGCAUAGCAUAUCGUCAUUUCAUCAUAUUGCUUGGUCUUGCCCGUGGUUGAUUGUAUCCUUGUUGCUUGUUUGUCUUUGGGUAGAGCCGGGAGACGAGUUCGCUACCGAGGAGCCCGUUGAGUUUGCUUGUGAGGAUCCAGUCAACUCUGACAACUGUGCAGGCAAGAUGAUCAUACCCUCGAAAUCACUACUAUCUUUGCUAUGCUAGUUUGCUCGCUCUUUUGCUUUGCCACUGCUACGAUGCCUACCUUUUGCUUGUCAGCCUCCCAAUUGCCAUGUUGAACCUCUAACCCACCAUUGUCCUAGCAAACCGUUGAUUGGCUAUGUUACCGCUUUGCUCAGCCCUUCUUAUAGCGUUGUUAGUUGCAGGUGAAGAUUGGAGCCGUUCCUUGUUGGAACAUUUAUAUUCUUGUUGGGAUAUCAUUAUAUUGCUAUGUUAUCUUAAUGCACCUAUAUACUUGGUAAAGGGUGGAAGGCUCGGCCUCUCGCCUAGUGUUUUGUUCCACUCUUGCCGCCCUAGUUUCCGUCAUAUCGGUGUUAUGUUCCCGGAUUGUGCGUCCCUUACGCGGUUGGGCUAUAAUGGGAACCCCUUGAUAGUUCGCCUUGAUUAAAGCUUUUCCAGCAAUGCCCAACAUUGGUUUUACCAUUUGCCACCUAACCUCUUUUUCCCUUGGGUUUCCGGAGCCCGAGGGUCAUCUUAUUUUAACCCCCCCCCCCGGGCCAGUGCUCCUCUGAGUGUUGGUCCGAACCAAGCAGCCUGCGGGGCCACCUCGGGGAAACUUGAGGUUUGGUUUUACUCGUAGCUUGACCUAUCCGAGCGUGCCCUGAGAAAGAGAUAUGUGCAGCUCCUAUCGGGAUUUGUCGGCACAUUCGGGCGGUGUUGCUGGACUUGUUUUAACCUGUCGAAUCAUCUUGUUGUACCGAGAUACCGAGUCUGAUCGGUGUGUCUUGGGUGGAGGUCUAUUCCUUCGUUGACCGUGAGAGCUUGUUAUGGGCUAAGUUGGGACCCCCCUGCAGGGAUUGAUCUUUCGAAAGCCGUGCCCGCGGUUAUGGGCGGAUGGGAAUUUGUUAACGUCCGGUUGUAGAUGACUUGAACUAAACUUAAUUAAAAUGAAUCAACCGUGUGUGUUACCGUGAUGGCCCCUUCUCGGCGGAGUCCGGGAAGUGGACACGGUGUUGGAGUUAUGCUUGCGCAGGAGUUCCUUUAGCUUCUCGCUCGUGCUUCGCCUUCUCUUCACGCUCUCUUUUGCGUAUAAGUUAGCCACCACAUAUGCUAGUCGCUGCUGCAGCUCCACAUAUAUUUGCCUUAUCCAUUCCUAUGAGCUUAAAUAGUCUUGAUCGCGUGGGUGUGAGAUUGCUGAGUCCCUGUGGCUCACAGAUACUACAACUCCAGAUGCAGGUCCAGGUGAUUCCGCUCCAGUUGACGAUUACGAGCUCAAGUGGGAGUUCGACGAGGACUCUCAGCGAUACUACGUGUCCUUUCCAGAUGAUUAGUAGUGGUGCCUAGUUGGGGUUAUCGAUUCAGGACCUUGUCGCAUGUUGGGUUCUUUUCUAUUUUGGCGCCGUAGUCGGGCCAUGAGUGUUUGUUUGAUGGAUGUUAUUUAUGUACUCUUAUGUGACGUGGCGAGUGUAAGCCAACUAUGUUAUCUCCCCCUUUUAUUAUAUAUUACAUGGGAUGUUGUAAUGAUUGCCCGACUUGCGACAUUGCUUUCAAUGCGGUUAUGCCUCUAAGUCGUGCCUCGACACGUGGGAGCUAUAGCCGCAUCGAGGGCGUUACAUAUUCCCUGCAUCUUGGUCGAUCGAUGGUUCUCUGUAAUACUCGGUAGCUGUUUGGACCAUGUCGCUUUUUAACUUGUGCUGCUUGUGUGGCAGCACUGUUUCAUUAUCUCGUGAAAUAGUACCGGUGCUUAUUUAAUUUGUCUAUCAAGUGUCCAAUUCUUAGUGUGAUCUCCUUUUUCUUGAGUAGUUAUUGCUAUGAUCCUAUUUGUUAGCUCAUCUUGGUUUGGUAAGUUAUGCAACCUUUGCUCUGAAUUUUGAAUGUGGACAUAUGCAAAUCACUGCAGCCAACGACACUGAACUUGUUUGGCAAUAAAGAAACAACGAUUAUAUUUCUAACAAGUUUCCUUGUUUAUCUAUAAUAGUACUAGAAAUUGUCUAUUCAUGAGUGUCAGUUGGAUAUACUACCCUUCAGGAGACGUAAUCCAGAUUGUUAGCUUCCCUGACAUCUUCAUACAUUGUAGCACCACAUAACAUCUUCAUACAAUCAGAAUCCUUAGUCUGAUUAUAAAUACAAAGAUCUUGUGGUAUCUCACCAGCCACCAGGUGACCUGACUGGUCCAUCCAUCUUUGGCCCAUCAAGUUGCAUCUUACGUGUCACAUCAGAUUCUUCUUGCUUUUGUGUUUAUUACUAUUUGAUUUAAUCUAAAAGUAGUUCUGUACCUCUUGAUGUAGCUCUAACAAGGCCAUGAAAUAAUUCAUACUAUUUCUUCAUUAUAAUUUUCCCUUUGCAAAUAGUAUACAACCUCUGAAGUUGAACGGAGCUUGCAUUUGUUCUCUUUUUAAUUCUGUAUUUUGUGCUCUUAAUAUUCCUUCAAAUAUACCUGAAGUCUCUUUGUUUGCUGAGACGAAUUUUGUUUUCCUCCAGGUCCCACUGAACCAGGUUGAGAAGUGGAACAAGCAGAGGGAGAAUGAGACGUUUGCAGAGUCUCCUCAGUUGCUUUUGUGCCUGUGCUACUACCGACUUGUAGUUGGAAUUUAUGCUCAUGUCAUGUACUCUCUUCCAACAAUCGCUGCAGAACAUCAAGUGAUGCUUUUCUCUAUAUUGCAUAAAUAGUUGAGCAUGCUUAUGUAUUCUCAUCAUGCUUAAAUGUAUGCAUGUAUUUCCUGGGACUUGUGAAUGCCGAGAACCUAUGAGACAUUUUUUUUUCUAAGUCAUGCUGAUGUGAGAGAAUAUGUUCCUGUUAUGUGACAACACAAUUAUGUGAUGAUAUAUUGAUUCCAAGUCAAGAGAAUUAUGUUGUUCAUGUGAAGAAUUGUUGCAAGGUUAGAUUUUAAACUGUUUUACACCAUUUUAAUUCAAUAUGGCAAUCCCUUCCUGUCAAACAUUGUUUUGUACAGAGGGGGAUUUGAAGGAUGUGUGGCUGGAGGGUGAUUUGAGGUUUCAAGGGGAUUGGGUUGAAGAGGGGGAUUCACCAAAUCCCCUGGAAUCCUCUCCUCCCAAAACCUCCACAAUCCCUUGCCGCCAAACAAGGCCUAAAGGGCAUCCCGGACCCUGGUGCUCGGGGCGUUCGGAGGCAGAGGAAACAUCGGGGCCAACCGUGCCGGUCGGGGAUCCACUGGUCACCGGAGGCGAACGCUUGGAUGCCGCCGCUGACGACUUGAACAUCGGGGAAGAGGGACGGAAGACAUGCCAUGUCUGCAGCGAUAAAUCCUUGCUUGAUCGAUCCUUGCACAGAGCUAGCUCAAUCUUACACGUACUCCCUCCGUUUCUCUUUAGUCCGCAUAUAAGAUUUGGUCAAAGUCAAACUUUGUAGAAACAAAUAUCAGCAUCUACAAUACUAAAGUUGUACGGUAUGAAAACUAAUUUCACGAUGCAUCUAACAAUAUUUAUUUCAUAUUGUGAAUCUUGAUAUUAUUUUCUAUAAACUUAGUCAAAUUUAACAAAUUUUUGACUUUGAUCAAAUCUUAUAUGCAGGUGCUACAUCUUGAGCUUGCGUUGGUUUUCCUUCAAGAGGAAAGGGUGAUGCAACAAUAGUAGCAUAAGUAUUUCCCUCAGUUUUUGAGAACCAAGGUAUCAAUCCUGUAGGAGGCUCCUCAAAAGUCCCACGCACCUACACAAACAAACAAAGAACUCACAACCAACGCAAUAAAGGGGUUGUCAAUCCCUUCACAGCCACUUGCGAAAGUGAGAUCUGAUAGAGAUAGUAUGAUAAGAUAAAUAUAUUUUUGGUGUUUCAUAAUAUAUAUGCAAAAAUUAAGAUGCAAAUAAAAGUAGAUUGAAAGCAAAUAAGAUAAAAGAUAGACCCGGGGACCAUAGGUUUCACUAGAGGCUUCUCUCAAGAUAGCAUAAGUAUUACGGUGGGUGAACAAAUUACUGUCGAGCAAUUGAUAGAAAAGCGAAUAGUUAUGAGAUUAUCUAGGCAUGAUCAUGUAUAUAGGAAUUACGUCCGCAACAAGUAGACCGACUCCUGCCUGCAUCUACUACUAUUACUCCACACAUCGACCGACUCCUUCCUGCAUCUAGAGUAUUAAGUUCAUAAAGAACAGAGUAACACAUUAAGCAAGAUGACAUGAUGUAGAGGGAUAAACUCAUGCAAUAUGAUAUAAACCCCAUCUUUUUAUCCUCGAUGGCAACAAUACAAUAUGUGCCUUGCAACCCUUUCUGUCACUGGGUAAGGACACCGCAAGAUUGAACCCAAAGCUAAGCACUUCUCCCAUGGCAAGAAAGAUUAAUCUAGUAGGCCAACCAAACUGAUAAUUCGAAGAGACUUGCAAAGAUAACUCAAUCAUACAUAAAAGAAUUCAGAGAAGAUUCAAAUAUUAUUCAUAGAUAAACUUGAUCAUAAACCCACAAUUCAUCGGAUCUCGACAAACACACCGCAAAAAGAGUUUACAUCGAAUAGAUCUCCAUAGAGAGAGGGGGAGAACAUUGUAUUGAGAUCCAAAAAGAGAGAAGAAGCCAUCUAGCUAAUAAUUAUGGACUCGAAGGUCUGUGGUAAACUACUCACAACUCAUCAGAGGGGCUAUAGUGUUGAUGUAGAAGCCCUCCAUGGUCGAUUCCCCCUCCGGCAGAGCACCGGCGAAGGCUCCAAGAUGGGAUCUCGCGGAUACAGAAGGUUACGGCGGUGGAAAUUGUGUUCCGGUGGCUCCCUGGAUGUUUUCGGGGUACGUAGGCUUAUAUAGGAGGAAGAAGUAUGUCGGUGGCCGCUCGAGGGGCCCACGAGACAGGGGGCGGGCCCUCCCCUCUCGUGGCCGCCUCGACUGCUUCUUGACUUACACUCCAAGUCCUGUGAAUCACGUUCGUUCCAAAAAUCACGCUCCCGAAGGUUUCAUUCCGUUUGGACUCCGUUUGAUAUUCCUUUUCUUCGAAAUACUGAAACAGGCAAAAAAACAACAAUACGGGCUAGGCCUCCGGUUAGUAGGUUAGUCAAAAAAAUGAUAUAAAUGUGUAAAAUAAAGCCCAUAAACAUCCAAAAGGGGUAAUAUAAUAGCAUGGAACAAUAAAAAAUUAUAGAUACAUUGGAGACGUAUCAAGCAUCCCCAAGCUUAAUUCAUGCUUGUCCUCGAGUAGGUAAAUGAUAAAAACAGAAUUUUUGAUGUGGAAUGCUACCUAGCGUAAUUCUCAAUGUAAUUUUCUUUAUUGUGGCAUGAAUGUUCAGAUCCAAAUGAUUCAAAAUAAAAGUGCAUAUUGAUAAAAGAAAUAGUAAUACUUGAAGCAUACUAAUCAAAGCAAUCAUGCCUUCUCAAAAUAACAUGGCAAAAGAAAGUUCAUCUCUACAAAAUCAUAUAAUUAGGCUAUGCUUCAUUUUUGUCACACAAAGAUGUUCCCAACUUCUAUACCCCCGAUGAUAAGCCAAGCAAUUGUUUCAUACUUAAAUAAUCUCAAACUUUUUCAACCUUCACGCAAUACAUGAGCGUGAGCAAUGGAUAUAGCACUAUGGGUGAAAUUGAAUAUGAUGAUGGGGAUUGUGUGGAGAAGACAAAAAGGAGAAAGUCUCACAUUGACGAGGAUAAUCAACGGGCUAUGGAGAUGCCCAUCAAUUGAUGUCAACAUGAGGAGUAGGGAUUGCCAUGCAACGGAUGCACUAGAGCUAUAAAUGAAUGCUCAACAAAAGGAAACUAGUGGAUGUGCAUCCAACUUGCUUGCUCACUAAGACCUAGGGCAUUUGAGGAAGCCCAUCAUAGGAAUAUACAAGGAAAGUUCUAUAAUGAAAAAUUCCCACUAGUAUGAAAAAGACAACCUAUGAGACUCACUAUAUGAAAAACAUGGUGCUACUUUGAAGCACAAUAUAUGAGACUCACUACAUGAAGAACAAGGUGCUACUUUGAAGCACAAUUGUGGAAAAAGAGAUAGUAACAUUGCCCUUUUUUUCUUUUUUUUCUUUGGCCUUUUCUUUGGCCUUUCCUAUUUUUUCUUUUUUCUUUUUGGGCAAUGCUCUAAUAAUGCUGAUCAUCACACUUUCAUUGAUUACAACAUAUGAAUUACAACUCGAAACUAGAACAAGAUAUGACUCUAUAUGAAUGCCUCCGGCGGUGUACCGGGAUGGUGCAAUGAAUCAAGAGUGACAUGUAUAAAAAAUAAUGCAUGGUGGCUUUGCCACAAAUACGAUGUCAACUACAUGAUCAUGCAAUAACAACAAAAGUAAAAUAUGUCAUGAUGAUGAUGAACGGAACGGUGGAAAGUUGCAUGGCAAUAUAUCUCGGAAUGGCUAUGGAAAUGCCAUAAUAGGUAGGUAUGGUGGCUGUUUUGAGGAAGAUAUAAGGAGGUUUAUGUGUGAUAGAGCGUAUCGUAUCAUGGGGUUUCGAUGCACCGGCGAAGUUUGCACCAACUCUCAAAGUGAGAAAGGGCAAUGCACGGUACCGAAGAGGCUAGCAAAGGUGGAAAGGUAAAAGUGUGUAUAGUCCAUGGACUCAACAUUAAUCAAAAGAACUCAUAUAGUUAUUGCAAAAAUUUAGAAGUCAUCAAAAAUCAAGCACUACGCGCAUGCUCCUAGGGGGAUAGAUUGGUAGGAAAAUACCAUCGCUCGUCCCCGACCACCACUCAUAAGGAUGCACAAGCCAGGUACACUUCAUGUUUCAAAUUUGUUACACGACUUUAACCAUACGUGCAUGCUACGGGACUUGCUAACUUCAACACAAGCAUUCUUUAAAUUCAUAAUCACCCAACUAGUAUUACUUUAAUAUCACUACCUCCAUAUAUCAAAACAAUUAUCAAGUAUCAAAUUGAUCAUAGCAUCCAAUUCACUUCCUAUGAUAGUUUUUAUUAUACCCAACUUGGAUGCUCAUCAUUCUAGGACCAAAUUUAUAACCAUACAAAUACCAUGCUGUUCUAAAAGACUCUCAAAAUAAUAUAAGUGAAGCAUGAGAGACUAACAAUUUCUAUAAAAUCAAGCCACCGCCUUGCUCUAAAAGAUAUAAGCGAAGCACUAGAGCAGAAACUAUCAAGCUCAAAAGAUAUAAGUGAAGCACAUAGCAUAUUCUAAUAAAUUCUAAUCAAAUAGGAUUCUCCCAAAAGGUGUGUACAUCAAGGAUGAUUGUGGUAAACUAAAAAUCAAAGACUAAUAUAAUACACGACGCUCCAAGCAAAACACAUAUCAUGUGGCAAAUAAAAAUAUAGCUCCAAGUAAAGUUACCAAUGAACGAAGACGAAAGAGGGGAUGCCUUCCCGGGGCAUCCCCAAGCUUAGGAUUUUGGCUAUUAUUGAAUAUCUUGGGGUUCCAUGGGCAUCCCCAAGCUUAGGCUCUUGCCACUCCUUGUUCCAUACUCCAUAAAAGCUUUACCCAAAACUUGAAAACUUCACAACACAAAACUCAACAGGAAAUCUUAUAAGCUCCGUUAGUGAAAGAAAACAAAACCACCACAUAAGAUACUGUAAUGAACUCAUUCUUUAUUUAUUUUGGUGUUAAACCUAUUGUAUUCCAAGUUCUCUAUGGUUCAUACCCUUACAUACUAGCCAUAGAUGCAUCAAAAUAAGCAAACAACACACGAAAAACAGAAUCUGUCAAAAACAGAACAGUCUGUAGCAAUCUGUAACUAACGCAAACUUCUGGAACUCUAAAACUCCUACCAAAAUAGGAAGUACUGGAAAUUUUUUUUAUUGAUCAGCUGAAAAAAUAAUCAAUGCAAAAUUACGUUUCUGUGAUUUAUUGAAUUUUUUUUCGUGAGCGCAAAGUUUCUGUUUUUUAGCAGAAUCAAAUCAACUAUCAUCAUAGGUUAUCCUAUAUGUUCUACUUGGCACAAACACUAAUUAAAACAUGAAAACACAUCUAAACAGAAAGUAGAUGCAAAAUUUAUUACUAAACAGAACAAAAACAAAAAAACACAAAGAAAAUUGGGUUGCCUCCCAACUAGCGCUAUCAUUUAACGCCCCUAGCUAGGCAUAAAAGCGAAGAUAGAUCUAAGUAGUG